CUCUCUCCUGUGCCUUGUGAAGAAAGUGCCUGCUUCGCCUUCACCUUCGGCCAUGAUUGUAAGUUUCCUGAGGCCUUCUCCGCCUGCAGAGCUGUGAGUCAAUUAAACUUCUUUUGUUUCUAAAUUACUCAGUCUCAGGUAGUAUCUUUAUAGCAGUGUGAAAGCGGACUAAUACAGUAACAGAGUCAACACAUGGAAAAUGAUUUUUUAUUUUUGCUGGCCCUGAGAUGACUGGUUUUCAGAGAGAGCUUUAUUCAUAGCAUAUUUAUUAUUAUUAUUAUUCAUUGUUGCAAUUUAUUAAUUUCCUAAUGUGUGCUAUGAAACGAGGUUCAGAGAAGUUAGGUAAUUUGUCUAAGGUCACUCAGCUGCUGUGAAAACCCAGCUUUAUUUGUUUCCAAAGCUUGUUCUUGUUUCACAGCGCACUUUCUCUGUUUUUAAACUUGGGGACUUUAUAUCAGAAAUCCCCUAAAGGCCUAGAUAUUUUUGCCUUUCAGUGUAGGACUUUGGGAGGGAUUAGGUCAUGAGAGUGCAGGGUUUUUUUUUUUGUUUUGUUCUGUUUUUUUUUUUUUUUUGACAGUGAUAUGGUUUCGCUGUGUCCCCCCACCCAAAUCUCAUCUUGAAUUGUAGCUCUUGUAACUCCCACGUGUUGUGGGAGGUACCCAGUGGGAGAUAAUUGAAUCAUGGAGGCUGUUUCCCUCAUAUAGUUCUUGUGGUAGUGAAUAAGUCUCAUGAGAUCUGAUGGUUUUAUAAGGGGAAAUCCCUUUUGUUUGGUUCUCAUUCUCUUUCUUGCCUGCCACAAUGUAAGACGUGCCUUUCACCUUUACCAUGAUUGUGAGGCCUCCCUAGCCACGUGGAACUGUGAGUCCAUUAAACCUCUUUUUCUUUAUUGAUUAUCCAGUCUCAGGUAUGUUUUUAUCAGCAGUGUGAAAAUGGACUAAUACAGACAGGGCGUGGUUCUGUUGCCGAGGCUGGAGUGCAGUGGAACCAUCAUAGCUCACUACAAUCUUCCCCUCCCGGGCUCAAGCCAGUUUCUGACCUCAGCCUUCCAAGUAGCUGGGACUACAGGCAUGUACCACUAUGCCUGGCUAAUUUUUGUAUUUUUUGCAAAUACAAAUGGGGUCUCACCAUGUUGCCCAGGCUGGUCUCAAACUCCUGAGCUCAAGUGAUCCUCCCACCUCAGCCUCCCAAAGUGUUAGGACUACAUACAUGAGCCACAGUGGCUUGGCCUAGGGUGGAGCUUUGAUGAACGGGAUUUGUGCCCUAAAAAAAAGGGACCCAUGAGAGCUCUAUAUAGCCCUCUUUCUUCCAAGUAAGGAUACAAUGAGAAGUCAGCAGCCUGCAACCCGAAGCGGCCCCUCACCAGAAUCUGACCAUGCUGGAACCCUGAUGAUGGGUGCUCCAGCCUCUAGGACUGUGAGGAAUACAUGUCUGUUGUUUAUAAGCCACCUAGUUUAUGGUACUUUCUUAUAGAAGUCCUAACUGACAAAGACAAGUGCUAUUUUGCCCUUCUUUGUAAUUUACAAAGAAGUUCAUCUGUCUCACUUCAUUUUUGCUUGGCAGGAGUAUUUGAUUCAAUUUUACAGAUGAGGACAGAGAAGCUAGAAUAUAUUCUAGAAUCUGUUGUCCUUUCCACCUCUCUGGGUGCAAGAACACAUGUGCCAGGCCUUGUACCUUGGACUUAUCUAGGAGCAUCAAACCAGGAGACAGGCAAGAGGGUCUCUGCCCUGGGCCUGGCCCUCACCUGCAUCCUCUGGAGCUUCCUGUGCAAUCUCAUUUGGCUUCUCUGUCCCUGCUAUUGCUCUCUGCUUGUGUUGCUUGCCUGUGAGUCAAGACCUAUUGCAGUUCCACUGGUUGCCUCCUGUGUAUGCAUCAACAUUCCACACUUGUCAAGUGUCAAGUCUUCGUUCCUAUCCUUCCCAUCUCGUUAGGCUUUGUUCUGUUUCCUUUAUCAUUGUUUGCUGGUUGCAACAGCAGCUUGCAGCCCAGUUAUGCUCUGUGGCAUUUCAGGGGCGUGAUGAGGUAGAUUGCGGGGCGGGGUGGGGGUGGGGGUGGGAAGAAAACUAACUCAGCGACUGGGACUCUGGUCUCACUGGCUGUGUGGUCCUGAGAGUUCAUUUUUUUCUCUCUGUGCCCCAUUCUUUUAUUGUUAGAAUAGGGUCACUGAGUUUCUCCCUGGUACUAACAUGCUCUGGCUCAAAUGUGAUGUUUGUGGAAGGUUAGAGGCUCACCUCCUCAACUUUCUGGGUAUGCUUAUUUUGUUGCUUAGAACAGGUAAUGCUAAGGAUAGUUAGGAGCUUUAUAUAUAUAUAUAUAUUUUUUUUCCGACGGAAAAGACAGAAAUUGCAUUUACAUAAAAUAUUGAUACACCAAAGGGAUGCUGCACUUAUCUGUGCCGCCAUCUGCCCUCAAUGGAACACAACAGAAGUGAGAAGUCCCCAAAAUGCAGUGCAGCGUGCCACUGCUAAAGCAAAAGUUAAAUAAAAAACACCCCACAAGGCCAAUUCCACAAGCUCAAACUUGGUUGUGAAGAAGAAAAAGCUAGGAGACAGGGACAACUCUAUGGGGAAUUUUAUUACCUUUUUUUUUUCUUUUUUUAAUGUAAAAGCUCUGAAAAGCAGAGUUCUAUUUUUCACCUGGAGUAUAGCAGAAAGACUGGACAAUAGACCCUUUGGGUGUUAUAAAUGUGUAAAUGUGGCACAAAAAUUCUGUAUAAAAUGUUGACAAUAUUUCCUUGAGGUUGUAAUCCUGAUUUGGAUUUUUGUCACUCAUUCUCCACUCUCUACUCUCAUUCCUGUGAAAGAGGGUGGGAAUGCCCUGUUUUCUCAAGCUUUUACCUUAUAUAUGUUUACAAGUUUUUCCCUGGAAUCCCAAUUUCAACACUUUUACACUUUUAAAAAAAUUCUAUUUUACAAUUUUUUAUUUCCAUAAGUUUUUGGGUAGCAGGUGGUAUUCAGUUACAUGAGUAAGUUCUUUAGUGGUGAUGCCUGAGAUUUUCGUGCACCCAUCACAUCAGCAGUAUGUACUGAACCCAAUUUGUGGUCUUUUAUCCCUCACCCCCCUCCCAUCCUUUCCCCCAAGUCACCAAAGUCCAUUGUAUCAUUCUUAUGCCUUUACAUCCUCAUAGCUUAGCUCCCAGUUAUGAGUGAGAACAUACAAUGUUCAGUUUUCCAUUCCUGAGUUACUUCACUUAGAAUAAUAGUCUCCAGUUCCACCCAGGUUGCUGUGAAUGCCAUUAAUUCACUCCUUUUCAUGGCUGAGUAGUAUUCCAUUGUAUGUAUAUGUACCACAAUUUUUUUUAUCCACUCGUUGAUUGAUGGGCAUUUGGGCUGAUUCCAUAAUUUUGCAAUUGUGAAUUGUGGUCCCAUAAACAUGCAUGUACAAGUAUCUUUUUAGUAUAAUGACUUCUUUUCCUCUGGGUAGAUACGCAGUAGUGGGAUUGCUGGAUCAAAUGGUAGUUCUACUUUUAGUUCUUUAAGGAACCUCCACACUGUUUUCCAUAGUGGUUAUAUUAGCUUAUAUUCCCACCAGCAGUGUAGAAGUGUUCCCUUUUCAAUGCAUCCAUGCUAACAUCUAUUAUUUUUUGGUUUUUUAAUUAUGGCCAUUCUUGCAGGAGUAAGGUGGCAUCUCAUUGUGGUUUUGAUUGGCAUUUCCUUGAUCAUCAGUGACUCAACUCUAUUUCUUUUUUGCUUCUUGCUGGGUUUCCUUGUGUCUCUACCACUAAGUUCUGACCUGCUCCCAUCAUCGUCCUCCCAGAGACAGAUAUAUGCACCUGGAACUAGUCCCAAAGUCAGGUCUCAUUUAGAAAGACAAGGGGUUAACUUUAUUGUUAUUAAUACUUUGGAGGUGUCCUGAAUGUCUCCCAUAGUAGAAUCAUAUGUAUCAAUCUAUCAAUCAUAUCAAAUAGGGAAUAGCUCCUUUCUCUUUAUGGAGUAUUGGAGUCUGAGAUAAUCCAAAGAAUGAACAGUGGUUGAAGGAGAGGAGAUAUUGAGAUACUAAUAACUGUUUUUGAACAAAUGCAUAGAAGAGGUCUCUUUAUUUAUUUAUAUUUUUCUUUCUUCCAUAAUAAUUUCAGGCAGUUUUCAAUAAGGCUCAUAUAUACAAUGUUCGCGUCUUUUCAACUUGCCUAGUGCGGUGCUCCUAAUGGCAGAGGAGAAUAGGUGGGCACUGUUCUUAGGAGGCUUUGUGGGGAUAACCCAGAAUGAUCGAAUGUUGCCUUCCAAUUCACAAUGUUUGUAUGAAUAUUACAAAGUUUUAAAUUACCUAGCUUUGAAUACAUUGGAGUUGCCAGAUAUAUGAGCAACCUUUAACCCGUGGCUUCCUGGAUCCUACAGCACACCAUGGCAUAACCUGGCCACAUGUGUACUUUAGUGUGAGAAGCAUGGCCACAGAACUUUCAAAUAGAUAUAAAAGGCAGGAGUUGGGCACUUUAAAAAGGGGAGACAAAAUUCCUAAAGACAAAAUUAACCUCUGAGCUCCCUACCAGCAAAAACAAAACAUGAAUUCUCAAAUUAUACUUAAAUCAAGCCUAAGACUUUGUGGGCAAAUUUAUUUUCUCUUUUGAUGAAGUAUACUCAAGGAAAAUCAUGGUUGAGUUGCUCAGUAUAGCUUUUCUAGUACUCUUUAUAAUCGGUGGCUCUGAAUAUCUGUUGACUAUCUAUCUGUUUUUUGACCGAGGUAUGACAAGUUGGCUGUUCACUUUCAUUUUCUGAGUAUGUUCUGGUAGUUUUCAUGCUUUCUUACACAUUAGAAUCACCUGGAGAGUUAAGAAAAAUUAAACAUCUAAGGUGCACCUGGUGCCAAUUAAAUUAGAAUCUCUGGAGGUGGGAGAGGAAUUAGGAACCAGCCAUCAGCAUUAAAAAAGGGUUUUAUAGAAGAUUACAAUAUGCAGCUAAGUGUGAGAUCCAGUGUUACAGACCAGUGCUUCUCAAACUUGAGCAUGUAUAAGAAUCACCUGGAAGGCUUGUUGAACUACAGAUUCUGGGUUCUACCUCCAAGAUUUUCUGGAGGCUUGAGAUUGUGCUCAAGAAUUUGGAGUUCUCACAAGUUCCCAGGUGAUGCUGAUGUUACUGACCUGGGGAUUAUAGUUGGAGAAACAUCAUUUUAGAGUUUCAGCUUUGUUAUUACCACUAGAAUGAGUGGGAUGGAAAUAUUCAGUCUAUAAAGAUGAAUUUGGGUUAGUUGGUAAAACCAGGUGAUGUAAUGGGGCUUGGGAAAGAUUUGUAGAACCAUGCUCUUCUGCUACAAUGGCCAUAUUUAAAUUCGAUUGACAACAUGUUUUGUUUCAGUUGGAUUUAGCCCAGGUCUUGGACACCCAGCCUAUUUCCUAUUGGUUAAAACUGUUUCAUAAAUUCAAAUGAAGAAAAACCUUAGUCUACUGCUUGUUACUCAGCACAGGUGUCCUGUGAGAUGUCAUGGUGCCCCGUGAAUGUUGCCUUAUUACUCUCUCUGUUUGUCAGCUACAGUGGAUGUAAUGGAACACUUCAAAGGAGUGAUAAAUGUCCUUUCUCUAGGACUACAGCUUUUUCUUUAUUGGGCUUAACAGUUCCCAGCCAGGCUGGCCAGCUCCUGUUUCCGCUUAGUGCAUAGUUUCUUUUUUCUUCUAUUAUAAAUAUUAUCUGCACAACUCUCUUAGCUUUACUAGUCCCAUUAAAGUGUCAUUAGGUUUCCCAUUAGCAGCUACUGUUGAUGGUUUCCUGCAGAGGCCUCAGCAUGGGCCUUCUUGCUAUGAAUUUGAGCUGGGGGAGAACAAGAGAAGAGGGAAGUGUGGAGACUCCACUAAUAUCUACCUUCCAACUUCAAAACACAAAUACUAGGCUGGAACCAAAGUCUUCAUUUGUCAGGCAAGGUUGGGGGCAGGUAAAACAAAAUUUGUGUAUUUGUUCCCCAGUCCCCAAACAGCAACUUCUGUUUCAUUUCUUUGCUUCUUUUAGUAUUUUUUAAAUAUAAAAACAAAUCAACAAAGUAUCCAGUUCAAUUUGAGUCACUUUUUACAUCUCCUACCUUCUGUCAGUUAGCAAUACUCCAUAUAGUUUUCAGUCUGCUGCCGGUUUACCUGCAGUGCUAGGUCUCUGAUUAAACUGAUUCAGGCACGGAGGACUAGAAGGCCCAUAUGUGAGGGGCAGAGUACCAGAACCAAUGGGAUAUUUAUUUUACUCAAUUUGGCCCUUAUAAAAAAAUAAUCUUUUGUACUAAAUUCCCCACUAUGUGGAAUUUAUUAAACACUCUAUGAAGAAUACAUAUGAUCAGUAAAAUUUAAAGACACAUGAAACCUAGGUACAGCUAUAAAACUUGCUUAUUAACUACUUAUAUUGAUUCAUAUCAGUCCUUUAAAAGUCCAUAACUUGAAAGAAAUAGUGUUAUCACUUUAGAAUUUGACAUCAGAAAUCCCUUUAAAUGGCCCUUCCCCAGGCUGUAGGUAUCUUCAGUUUUCUUUACCAAGACAAUUAUCAAGGCUUAACCUGUCCUCAGUUAAGAAACAAAGUCAUCUUCUGGAAGUCUUAGCUUCCUUUUCCUCAGAUGCCCACCUUUUCUUUCUCAUAGUUUGCAGGAAAAGAAAAACGAUCCCAAUUACACACACUAGCUCCAUUUACCUGCUCUACUUCACCAUGAUUGUGCUUUUCCGAUUAGGAGAAAAUUUGCUUUGACUGCUUCUUAGAUUUAGCUCUCUGCCCUUUCCAGCUGAAGAAGAGAGUCUUAAUUUACACUGAAUACAUACGUUUAGUCAUUACCACUAAAUGUUACAACUUUUUGUUGAGAAUCUCCUGGAACUCUUCUGUCUGGCUUUUGGUACAGCCUAGCUUCUUUUAUGGGGCUUCACUGAAAUUUGAGCCUCUGUCAAAGCCUGUCACUGAGUAUGAUCAUUCAGUUAGGAUUGGGAGUGAAUUUUUUCCACGAGGAGAGGUGGUUCUCUGGCCUCUGGACCCACUGAAUGGAGAUCACAGGGAUCUGGAAGGUGGCUCAUGCCUAUAAUCCCAGCACUUUGGGAGGCCGAGGCGGGUGGAUCACGAGGUCAGGAGUUCAAGACCAGCCUGGCCAAUAUGGUGAAACCCCGUCUCUACUAAAAACACAAAAUUAGCUAGGCAUGGUGGCACAUGCCUGUAAUCUCAGCUACCCGGGAGGCAGGCUGAGGCAGGAGAAUCGCUUGAACCCAGGAGGUGGAGGUUGCAGUGAGCCAAGUUGUGCCACUGCACUCCAGCCUGGGCAACAGAGCGAGACUCCGUCUCAAAAAACAAACAAACAAACAAACAAAAGUGAUGCAUUUGCUAGAGGGAGCAAGGCAGGGCCAGAGUUCCAUGUACUUUGCAAUGGCAAGCUGUUUAAUCCUUCAGGAAAAUUAUGUGUAGACCCAAAGGAAGCUUUUUAGAAGGUGACCUCCACUUACCAAGCUCCCAAGAAUAACAGAGCUUGCUCUUUCCUCUGUAAAAAAUGGGGCACUGUGAAAAACAUGGCUGUGCUGCAGCCAAGCAGGUAUAGGGCAGCAGGCAUGGCCAAGGUAAACAGCCUAGAUGACUCAGCGGGUUUGGGGUGCAAGAGCCAGUCCCGUGUCUUAUAUAACCAUAGCCAUGUAGACAUAACAUAGAGAAGCUCACCACCUGGCUCUCAGCCACUACUGUCUGUGUAGUGUAUAAAUGUAAUAUUGACCUUGUGAAGGGGCUGCUGAAUAAAGCCGUGUCUCAUCUACCUGCUGUCUCUUGAGUGUUCUUCCAGCUCCCUGCCCCACAUCCACCCACUCUCCUCAGCUCUCAGCUGGAACUGGAGCCUGACCCUGAGCAUGACAUUUGGCAUAGUCGUUGGCAGGAUGAGGUGAGUGGGUCUUCAGCCCUUGGGGCUCCCAGGUUGGCUGUGUGGCUGCAACAUGGGCUGUGGUACCCAGUGGCAGAAGUGCUGCUUGGGUGGGCCCCAGUGGAAAUGUGGGAGGCAGUGGACGGGUCUCCCACGAGUGUGGAGAAGGCACUGAAGCAGCUGGAAGCUCAUAGCACCAAGAAGAAAUGCACCUUCGCCGGCAGAGUUGGAUAGGCGUUUCUGACCAUACUACAUGAAGUACAUGCUCAGUCUCUGUGGGACAUGGCACAGGUAAGGGACCUUCAGGCAUAAGUUGAGUGCCUGGGAGCCCAAAUGCACAGCUUGGAGCAAAACCUGGGGGUGAAGGACCUCCAGGCGCAAGCAGGGCACUUAGAGGCUCAGAUAAACAGCCUGGAGCAGGCGUUGGAAACAGCUCCGAAUGCAACCUUGAGCCUGUCCUCCAGGCCGGGCACUCCCGUUUGGUCUGAUGCUGAGAAGGAGGAGGCUGCUCCACUUCCGGCUCACCCUGUGAUCUGUCAGAAGGUAGAACAUGAGCAGCCGAUGGGACCCCAGAGGAGAGCCCAGGGGCCCCCCACAGUGGUGGAACACACCUCUUAUAGUGUUUAUACCCCCCAUGAGUUGUGGGAAUUAGGUAGGCAAUGCAGGCAGCACCCAGGGGAGCCCCUCCCAGCCCUGAUUACUCUGUCUUUGGGAUGAGGGGGCUGACAGCAUUUCUUGCUCUGCCUCCGAGAUGGAGAAGCUGGCCUCUAUCACAACUCACCCCUCCCUUCGUCAGCAGCUGCAGCUGUGCCAAUGCUUGGCACAAGGGCAAGGUGAGCACAUGUUAAUCAAGUGGCUGAUGGCAGCCAUACAGACUGUUUGGCAUGAUGCCGGUGAGACACCAGAAACUGUGAGUAAAUGGCAGUCAUACACUGAUUUGGUGCAGGUACUCUGGGAGAUGGGUGUGCAGCCAAGCAGGCUAUUUAGCAGGCACAAGCCCCAUGGUAGUGGGCCAGGGGUGCCCGUUUAAACUAGAUGUGCGUGUGACCACAGAUAGUUUCUGUGAGGGCCUAUGGUAGCACACGGAGCACCCGAGUACGUCAGUAGGCUUUUGGUGCCAAUUAUGGAAGGGAGCUGAGCUCUGUAAACUUCCUCUAAAUAGAUGGGAUAUUAAUGCAAGAAAAAAGCAUUUCUAUGAAAGCUAAGCUUCUUUGGAAAGAUUUAAAUACAAGUUGUUAAUAAGCAUUGUUAUCAAAUUAGGAAUGGACAGAACAUCUGCAAAAAGUUAAAUCAUAAAAGUCUAGGAGAAUUCUGCAUUAAGAUUUUUUUUUGUUUCAUCUAAAGAAAUCAGAUGUUACAUGAUGGCUGUGGUUUAUACAAGAAAGACAAUAGAGGACUCUUAACAACAGGCUCAUGGUAGAAGCAGCACCCUGGACUCCAGAUUAAUACAUUGGUGAAUACAUUUAUACUUAUAGGUUUAACUUUGAAUAAAAUUAAGGAACACUGACUGUCUUUUAUGAUUAAGCAACAACUGUCAAUCCCUAUUGCAUUCACUAUUUAUGAAGCCCAAGCAUGAGCUGGGUGUUUCUGCUCCUUCAGAAUUAUAGGACAUUGUCCUUAAAGUUCCACACCAGGCCAAGGAAUCUGAGAAUUCCUGGGGGACUUACAUGUUUGUGGUCACCUUUGGCUCUAACCUUCUGGUUCCCUGUAUUUUAGUUUUUGCAUUAUCAUUUGUCGUUUGUGUAUUCUUUUUGUUCUCUGUCACUUAGCCCUGGCUGUGAUCUCAGGUUUCCUUAAUUUCUAUGUAUUAAAAAAAAUCUUACAUAAAGCAGUUGCAUAUAUGGUAGACUUGACUGAAGAGGGAGAAAGGGAGGGCUUUAUAUUGUAGCAACAAAAAUAAUUUUAAAUUGAAAAUCAUAUAUCCUUGUUCUUAAAAGUCCUUUGGCCACCUUGCUACUGGGAAGAGAAUUUGACCAUUAAUCCCAACAUAGUACCCCAGCCAUGCAUUAUCUGCCUACUUUCUUUGAAUUUUACUUGUUUCUUUUCUCUCUUCUGUUCUUCUUUCUAUUCAUGUUUAUAUGAAAGGCAGAGCUGUUUGGCUAAUCGCUACUCUUGGGUAGGAUCUCACCUUCCUACUUGCCUCUACUCAGGUAGCUUAUAUGUGGGGUGUGUAUGUGUGUGUGGAGGGAUAGAGAGAGAGAGAGAGAGAGAGAGUCAGUCAGUAGGGUGACUAUAUCCUAGGAACUGGAACAAUUUUGAAAGUUAAAGUGGACAGUAUUAAUAAUUUCCCUCGGAUAAAAGGCAAAAUUUUGAAUUAUUCUGGAUAAAUCAAAAUCUGCUAUUUCAUAAAUAGGUAUUUUUCUAACCAUGGGCCAUUUUCUCCAUAAGGAGAAUUGUGUUGUUAGCUGAUAAAACUUUUUUCACCCCAUUACAUAUAUAUACUUCCCAAAUCUGGUUAAUUGCAAAUAGCCAAUUCCUUGCUUCCUUAGGGGAAUAUGUUGUUAACUGAAACAAAGCGUGCUCUUUUACCUGCUCUCACUGUUAACUGUUCUGUGUAUUUUACCCUCUUCGAGCUCAGUUUUUCCAUCUAUGAAAUGGAGGUGAUUGCCUGCUAAGGGACUUGAAUGAAAAAAAUAGACAAUAAGACAAUUUAAGGGGAUUAAAUUAUAGAAAUGUUUGUUUGUUUUAGAUGAUAGCAAGGAUCAAAAGUCACAGGAAGUGUGAGUGAUGUGGAGCUACAUCAGCCCUGAUCGCUUUUCUGGGAUUUGAGCCUCUGCGCGUCUUACUUGGUGCCCUUUUAUUCUUGCUCCAUGACUCUACCCCUGGUCCUUUGAAACAACUCUGCCAAUAGUCCUGGAUCCUAACCUUCCACCUCCUUAUUAGUUCAGUCCUGGGCCUCUACUCAGCAAAUUCAUCCAAUCACCCUGAAUUGUAUGUAGUUGAGUCAGGUUAUUGUGAUGCUGAUAAAUCAAAACUAAAUUGAAGACAUCAGCCUCAUUUUCCUUACCUUAUUUCCAGAUGUGAAAGUUAAUGGGCUUGGAUUGGCUGCUAACACUGACACUCAUCAAAGAACAUUUUCCCUAAGGACAUUAACUGCAAUUUAUUGAUUGGGUGGAGACCUGAGGCAUUUGGGGUGUGGAAUUGUAUUAUGGCCUACAAAAAUGGUUGGAGAUGAAAUCUAAGCCUGCCACAGAUGAGUUUGUCAAAUUGAGCAGAAAUACUGUGACUUAGAUUCGGAGGCCAGGUAGGCUGACAAGAUGAAGCAGUUUAAAAAUGAAUCACCUUAUGAGAAAGAGAUGAGCAGCUCUUUCCUUCCUCUAAGAGUAGGAAUAUGGAGCCCAUUUUAUGUGUGCUGAGUUCAACUGCUUUAAUUGGGGGAUACAUCCAUUUAGUUCUUCAUUGUCUCCUGCACUCUGUGAUGGCUACUUGGAUCAUUUCUGCCUGCUCUCUAUACUUCCUCUUCUUCUGUCUCAAAUCCGUUCCAUUCAGGACUUUCACUCCCUCCACUGCAGCCAGAUUACUCUCAUAAUGACCACCAAUGCCCUCCCCACAGCUAAAAACAGAGAUCAGUUCCCAGCUCCCAUUCUAAUUGUGCUAUCAUCACAUUUAACACGUUGGGUUAUACUUUUCUACUUGAAACCAUUUCUUCACUUGGCUUCGAGGACAUCACACUCUUCUGGUUUCCUUGCACCUCAGUGACUGCUCCAUCUCUCUCCCAUUGAUUGAUGCAGCCUAAUCUUCCUGACUUCUAAAUAUUGGGUCCCCUAGGGUUCAGUCCUUGGAUGUCUUUCCUAUUUUGUCUAUACUCAUGCCCAUCCCAUCUCAUGGAUUUAAAUUCAAUUUAUCUACUGAAGAUGCCAAAAUGUAUAUAUCUGGCCUGAAACUGUCCUGCGGACUAGAGAUACAUAUAACCGUGUGCUUGCUGAACUCUCCACUUGAAUUGGUAACAGGCAUGUUGAAAAAUUAAUGUCUCAGUGAACUUCUCCCCCAAACAUGUGCCUCCUAGUCUUCCCUUAUCAGUAAAUGGCAACUCUUUCCUCCUAGUUGCUUGAGCCCAAACCCUUGAAGUCAUUCUUAUCUUUUGAUCUCACAUUUUACUUCAGUGCAUCAGCAUAGCUUAAUGGUUUUAUCUUCCCAAUAUCUGUACAUCCAGAAUUGACCAUGGCUUAUCAUUUCUCAGCUGUCACUGUGGUGGUCCCAGCCACCAUAUUCUUUCACCUGGUUUGUUGCAAUACCCUUCCUGAAUGUCUUCCUGCUUCUGCCCUGGCCCCUUGUAGUAGAGCUUCAAUGUGGCAGCCAGGAUUAUGCUUUAAAAACAAAAUUCAGAUUACGCUACUCCUCUGCUGAAAAUCUUGAAUGGAUCCACAUUUCUCUCAGAGUAAUUGCCAGUCCUUACAGAGGUCUAGAAGGCUCUUUAAACCCAUUUCUGAGCUAAUGUCCUAAUAGUCUCUUUCUCUCUGUGUGUCAUCAGUGACAACACUGACUUCCAAUACUCCAGCCACAUUCCUACUCAGAAGAUUUUCAUUUGCAGCUCCUUCUGCUUAGAACUUUCUUUCUCCAUAUAUGUUGCAUGACUAAUUCCCUCACCUACUUAGGUUCUUUUCCCAAAAUGUCACCUUCUCAGUAAGGCCUUCUCUGAUCAUCCUAUUUAAAAUUGGAAAACCCACUCAUCCCAGAGGCUCCUACCUUUUCUCUUGCUGUACUAUAGACUUAUUAAAAAUGAAAUAGAAUUUUUAAAAGACAAUGGUUUUAUAAAGAAAAUUAUUUGAUCAUGAAUCUUAUUAAAAAUUACCAUGUAGAAAUUUCAUUCUUGAAGGUAAUAAUGUUUUCAAUUUCUGAACCUUUUUACCCAGAAUAUAGUGAUCACUCUCCAAAAACUCUGUUCAAACAUACUGUUUAAAAGUGCAGUGUUGGCCGGGUAUGGUGCGCCUCAUGCCUGUAGUCCCAGCACUUUGGAAGGCUGAGGUGGGUAGUUUGCUUGAGCCCAUGAGUUUGAGACUAGCCUGAGCAACAUGGUGAAACCCAUCUCUACAAAAAGUAGCUUGGUGUGGUGGUGCACUCCUGUAGUCCCAGCUACUUGGUUGGCUAAGGCAGAAGAACCACGUGAGUCUGGGAGGCGGAGGUUGCAGUGAGCCAUGAUCAUGCCAUUGCACUCCAGCCUGGGUGAUGGAGUGAGACUUUGUCUUAAAAAAAAAAAGUGCAGUGUCUGUAUUUUUUUAAUAGAUAGUAUUAUAUACCUGUCUGCUUGAAGAGCUGACCUUCUGUUGCUGCACUUAGAGUGUUGAGACUUUAUGGAUAUGGCAUUGUGCCUUCUUACCACCCAACUGUCUUUACUGGAAGUUAAUUGUAUAUUUGUUUCAAUGUGUUUUUAAGACUUUUGUAUUUUGAUAAUAUGAUACAUUUAUUCUAAAAUUAUGAUCUCUUCUAAGGGCGCAGGUGUAGAUAAGUUAAGUCCUCAAUUAUUGGGAACCACAGGUAACUGAACAGACUCAGUCAACCUAGUCAGGAUCUUGGGAGCCAAAUCAAAGGAAACCAGAAACUAGAGGAGGUAUUAAAUGGAAUUUUCCUCUAGUUAUUGGAUGAAAGGAAAGAAUGAAAUGCUCAUCCGUUUUCUAUUUUCCUAGAAAUUCAGGUGAUCAGUUUCUUCUGUCUAGGGCCCCAAACCACUUCUCAACCUAUUAAAAAGUGAUAAAUUAUAUAAAUAUAUCUUACCGCACUUUCAAAUAUGAAACAUUUAAAAUGCAUUUGAGAUACAUAAGUGAAUUAUUCAUUUACCAAAGAGCAGACUUUUACUAAAAUAGUUUAGGAUAAAAAGCAGCAUAUGCAAUUAUCUAAUUGUCAUCUACUUGCAUUCUAACAACCAUAUGUACUCUCCCAUUCACUUUCUAUAUUUUCAGCCCUCAGGCUGAAAGGUCUCAAACAGUGUUUUGAGAUUUGAGAAUUCUGAGGUCUUUGAUUAAAUCCACACCUACUGGGAUCCAACUGCUGAGGUUCCAUAUCAGGAAACUUCAGGAGAAGAAAUUUACAUGUUUGUACAGCCAGCACUUUCUAAAAUUUUGAUAAAGUGCAAAUCCAAUUAUUUAGAAUUUGCAAACUACAAAUCAAGAUAUGUUUUUUAAUACAGCACACACUCACUGUCUUUUCCUCUCUCUCUGUCUAUCCAAUUUUCUAUUCUGUUUGGAAUAUCUGGAAUAUUGUUUGGAAUAUUGCUGGAGAUGCCUUAUUUAUUUAACAAAUGUUAAAUCUAAUGAAUGAGGCAGUCAGUCAAAAUUGGGGUGUUUUAAAUGGACACUCCUAUUUCUUCAGAUGUAGAGUCACAGGGUAUCAGGUUUAGAAGGAACCUUAAAGUUUCAUCUAGACUAGUGCUUCUCACUCCUGGUUAGACUCAUCUGGAGAGCUUUUAGAAAUACUCAUGCCCUAGACCAGUUGAAACCAAGCUUCUGGGGCAUUGUGCUGACCAUCUGCAUAAAAACAAAAUGAACUCUCAGAUUACUGGGUAGCAAAGAUUUAGAACUAUGAUCUAGGUAAACCCACUUGAUGCUCAAAUCUCCCAUGCAUUAUUAUGACUGGCCCAAAUUUGGUUGGUCUUUGUUAGUUACCUCCAAGGAAAAUGCUCAUCCUUUCUAACGAGCUCUAUAGGAAGUUCUUCUUCAUAUUGACACAAAGAUAUUUCCUUAUACCUUCUAUCCAUUGCUCCUGAUUGUGUUACUUGAGACCACAAAGUACAAAAUCUAGUAUUUCCUUAUAGUAGUUCUUUGAAAAUUUGAAGGCAAUUUUCACUUAUCUACUUUUUUAAAACCAAAUAUUUACUGAGUACCUAUUAUAGGCCCAGGCCUGUAGUGAGACUCUAACACAAAUAAGAUAUGGUCAUUGUACUCACCAGGCUCACAGUCUUGUGGGGAAGAUGGAAAAAGCAAUGAAAACAGUACAUUUUAACAAUGCAUUGGUGUCCCCUGCCUCCCUGCCCUGCACCGACUCUGCCUUACUCUUCUCUACACCAGGGCAGUGUAGCCCCGAUUCCUUCACUUUGUCUUCAUAUGAUAUUGUUUUGAAGCUCUCUGUUUACCAUAGUUUGAACUUACUUCAGUUUUUCUGCAUCCCUAAUAAGAUGUCGCUCCCAGCAUGGAUUACAGAUAUCAGAUGUGGUCUGAAUAUACCAAAGAAAGAGACCGCUAUCUAUUUCCUUCUAUUUCUAGAUGAUACAUUGCUAGCUCAUCACGAAGUUAUGGACAAUUAAAGUCAUUAGGACUUAUUGAUAUAUCCAGGGCUACUUGUAAGAGCAAAUCUAUGCUUUGGGUGAACAGGAGGACAGGAAAGGCAAUGCUGAUGUCAGAGCAAAGGGUUGGAGGAAUUUAACUUCCCUUUCCCUUGUCUGCCUUCUCUUUGGGCUUAGUUUUGGGUCCCUAAGGUCACAUGUAAACAUUCUGAGAAUUGACCCAUUAUGCCAUUGAUCGUGGAGGCCAUGGAUGGGCCCAGCCAAAGGUGGGCACACUUGCUAAGUGAAGUGGACCUGAAAGAGACACAGAGGUGAGUGUGAAGCACUACAUUCAAAAUAGGAAGCAGUAUUUGGUAAAACUCUUUCUGUAACCAGAUUUUCACAUUUCUGCUUAUCAAUGCUGGAAGAAAUUGACUUUCCUGGUUCUGGUGUCCAGUUCUGGAUACAAACUGGCCAAGUCCAUAUUUCACCUCUUUUUUUAAAAUCUGUGCUGUGAGCUAGAUGGUAGAGUACAUGCAUUAAUUUCCAGUAUUACCUUAUGGCUUUAUGGGAACUCUUAAAUUAGUGACCUCUUUGACCUUUUACACACUUUUUUUUUGAGACGGAGUCUCGCACUGUCGCCCAUGCUGUAGUGCAGUGGCACGACUCGGCUUACUGCAAGCUCCGCCUCCCAGGUUCACGCCAUUCUCCCACCUCAUCCUCCCGAGUAGCUGGGACUACAGGUGCCCGCCACCACGUCUGGCUAAUUUGUUGUAUUUUUAGUAGAGAUGGGGUUUCACCAUGUUAGCCAGGAUGGUCUCGAUCUCCUGACCUCGUGAUCUGCCCGCCGUGGCCUCCCAAAGUGCUGGGAGACCUUUUACACACUUUAAGGUGUCAGUGUUGUUAUGGACCAGUCGGAACCCCCAUCGGCGGAUGAUUUCAAUGUUUGCCCCAAUCCACCCUCCCUUUAUGUUUGCCAAUUAGCAUCUCAAGAAGGAAUGCCACUGUGUCUUUGAAUUUUUAUAAUGAUAUUUAAUAAAAUAUUUCACAAAUAUUUGAUAACAAAAUAAGCUCUGUUAUGCUAAAAAAAAAAGUGGGUACAAUCAAAGACCAUAACAUUGCCAUCAGAAUCAGUAAAUACUCACUGAGGGUAUGUGACGUAAUUGGUUCAGAUGGGAACAAGUUGGGGUUCUAAUCUGGGGGAGAUUUGGGCAAGGCCCUUCAUUGUUGGUGCUUCUUUAGUACCCUUUUAAUAAGAACAAAAUAGCACCAUCCAGAAAGCCCUAGGAAAGCAUGAUGAAUGACCACACCUGAAAAGAUGUGUGUUCUAGGUCAGCAAACAUUCAGGAGAGUCAGAGAUGCUUUUGAACAGAGGGAAGGUAGAUCCCAGGCAUCUGACUAAGACUGGAAGAAGAGUGAGGGAGGAAUGUUGGGUUUAUUUAUGCUAUCCGAAGAGCCUUUAAUCUGUCUGCUGCUGGACAUAGUGACCUAUUCAAGAUGUUGGAGUUACAUUUGCAGAUAAACAUGUGGGUGAUGCUUGAAUAUAGGCUUUUGUCUACUGCUUAACUUGCUUACCUGUCAUUCAUGAUAGAGUUUCCAGUGCUCAGCUCUUUAAGGGGCAGACUUUCGCCAAUACCAGUGGUCUGUUGGAUCCUUACCAUCCUUAUCUUCUCUGCAGCAUUUGACCAUCUUAAUGAUGCCGAUCGGAAAACCCCCUUCCUUGUGCUGUUUCACUACACCAUCCUGAUUGGUCUUACGUCUUUCCGGUCCAUCCUUCUCUCAUGUAGCUCUCUCACCAGCUCACCAUGGACAUUCCCUGAGAUUCAGCAUCUGGUUCUUGGACAUUAUUGUCUAUGUGUCCGUUUUCAUUUGGAUUUCUCAGGAUUUCAUUACCACUUACGUGAUAUGUUUCAAAACAUUAUAGUCAGCCCUAAACCACAACGUGCAUGAUCUAUUAUCCAUUUAAGUAAAAUGUCACUGUAAUUAUUAUUAUCUUUACAUAUCUACACCUGAACUUGCUUCUGUCAGCUUAUUGUCAAUCCUUGAAAUCCAACAUUUUGUUUUUUUCUUUCCUGGUUUCUCUGUGUUUUCAGUGGUAUUCUUAUUCUCCCAGCCAUCCAAGUUUUUUUGUUUUUUCCACCCCCCACCAACCAACAAAUACAAGUAUCUAUUUUAGUUCAGACACUGUGCUAGAUUCUGGGUAGAUUAUGUACUAAGAGAUAUGGUCCCUACUUCAGUGGAGUUUGCAUUCAUGUGGAAGGGUUAUAUUAUUAUUUCUAUUGUCACAAAAAUAUAGGUUACCACACACCUGAGAGGAGGAAUAAAGGAAAAGUACUGGGAGCCAUGCAAAUGUAUAAUAGGGGCCUGACCUAGACUGGAGGGGAGAGAAAGCUUCUCUGAGAAGAAUGUUUGCCCUGAGAUCUGAUUGAUGAGUCAGGGCUGGAGAAGGACAAUUUAGGCACAAAAAUAGCAUUCCUGAAAGUCUUGGGAUGUGGGUGGUAGUGGGAGGAAACUGUACAGGUCAAAGUAACAAGGAAAACAACAUAGGUAGAAAAGGGAAAGGAGAUGGGCAAGAGUGGACCUAGGGACACCAGUCUGGUCUGGAGGCUGUAACAAUAAUGCAAAUUAGGGCAAGGGAGGUGGUUGUGGAGGUCGAGAGAAGAUGCUGGUUCUCAGACACAAAGUCAAACCUCAGUAUCACUAUAUUUGAACACAUUUAGUAUUCAACCAGCCAACACAUUCCAUUCAAUGUUUCUGUAUAAUACCUGCAUUUAUGUUUUUCUUUCCAUUCAUGGCCUUGCCACUUAAUUCCAGGGCUGUGGCUUCAUGUCUGAAUUAUAGCUAUCUCUGAUUAGGGUUUGCUUACUGAAAACUGCUAGUCCUCUGCCCUUCAAUUCCCCAUUUUAAUGAGGGCCUCAUCCCACCCCAGGAUCUGCAUCAGCACUGAGGAAACUGGCUUCUACUAGGAUAAAGCAGCAUACAUUUCUGUGUCGUGUAAGGUUCCAAACACAAAUAAGUUCCAUCGUCUGGAGCUUAUUUGUACACUUUAAAAAUGUACAGAUCCCUAGGCUCAAUAUCCAGAGGUUUUGAUUCAGCAAUUUUUUUGGGUGGGACCCACAAAUCUGUAUUUGAUGAUGAUCAGGUUUCUAAGCACCGGGCAGGUUUGGUUUGGUCUAAGGCAUCACUUACUGUGGAUUUCCCCCUGGAGUGAAGAGGGCAAUCCUUUUCCAGGUCUAUCUAGUCCCUGUCUUCUCUGUAACCUUCCCCAAUCUCCUUCCUCCCUGAAGGAAAACACCCUUUCUCACUUAAUUCUUUAUUUGACUUUUAAGCCGUCUGUUUUGUGUUUUUUCUUCCCUCUGGGGAAUUUCUGAUGUCUUCUUCGCAGGCGUAGCCACCUGUGAAGGGACGUGCCAUGCCAUAGAAGACUGCUCCUGGCUGGCUGAGUGACAGGGAGGAUUUCCUAAGAUUCAUUACAAAGCAAACCCUGUAUUUUCAAAGAUGAGGCAUUGGAUAGAGCAUGAGAAGAAAGUCAGCAGCAAGAAAAUAAUCUGUUUGAGAAAGCAGCCCUGUUUCAUGUAUCUGCCAAUUACAUUUGCUUCCUUUUGGUCUUUAGAUUAAAAAAAAAACUCAAGUAAACGUGACUGUGGUGCAUCUGUUUUAAUGCUUCUAAUCUUCUGACUACUAGAGCAAAAAAUUAAUAUCUUCCUUCCUCAGUAAGAAUAAAAGCUUAGGUACCAAUGGAAGGAGGGAAAUGAAGAACAGCUGCAGUUUAUUUCAGGGUAGGGGACAUGCAUUGCUGUGUGUAUGUGUGUGUGUGUGUAUUCACAUAUCUAUAUGAUUAGUAUCAGUUUAAUAUUUUUAUGGAACUGUAGCAAUAGAUAAUGUUAGAUAUGUGAAAAAAUAUCAAAAUUGAAUCCUUGACCUAAUAUACUUAACUUUGUAGGCAUAAGUGCAUUAUCAGAUAUCCGUGAGCCAAAGAAAUAACACGAAGGGAAGUUUACUUGGUGUCCAAUCAUGGAUUCAUUACUUUUUAAUAUUCUCUGAUGUCUAUUCUUAGAAUCAUGAGUCUUUUCGGAUGUCCUUUAAUUUCAUGUAUUGUCAGUGUACUGACAAGUGGUUAUUGAGCUAGGGCAGGUAACAAGAGAACACCUAUUUGCAUUCCCUAAUCUUGAGUCACUGAAACCCGAAAGAAACCCGAAUGAAGAGGAACACAGAGGAAUUAUAAAUUUAAAUUGGAGAGUGUCUGUUGUGUGUGUGUGUGUUGAAAUGGGAGAGGAGGUGAAAUUGAGAGGAGGAGGGAGAUGGACUUGUUUCCACCCAUAGCACAGAGGAAGAUAAAUCAACACAGGAGAUUAAAAAAAAAUGUAAAAAAGCUUUUCCUGUUCGCCUCGCUUCCUUGUGGUGUCUUUGAAUGUGUUUGGCAGCAGUGGGCCAUGUCAGGCCACCUGUGCAGUUAGCAAAUUGCUCAUGGUAUUUAAAGGGCUCCUUUAUUAAUCUCCUCAAGCAUCCUUUGGGAAAUUGGAUGCUUGCUUUGGAAGGUCCACUGUAUUUUUACUUUUCUCGAAGCAUUAUGGUAUUUUAUUUAAUGGUUAAUAGGUAUUUUAUUUAUCCUCAGAAAGAAUAGACCAUAGGCUUCUGUAAGGAAAAGACUGUCUGCCUUACUUUUGUAUCUUAUACAAGGCCUUGUGCAAUGGUAGAGAGCGUCUGUAAGUUUUGCAGUUCCAGGAGCACUAGCCACAUCGUUGUGCUAGUGGGGAGAGCCUAAUAUGAGAUACAUUGUGAGGGGUACCUCUGAAGUUGUGCAACACAGCAGUAGGCACUUAAUAAAAAUAAAUUGAUAUUUAUGAAUGAACAAUUAAGUGAUUGAAUAUCUUUCUUUUCAUUUGUUUCAGAGGCUGUUUAGUGUAGUUUUAUGUUCAGUCCAAGUGAAAUAGAAAUAUAUGAAUUAUGGAUUAAGAGAGACUUGGGUUCAGUCUUGAUACUGUCAUUGAUUUAUUGUGUGAUUUAGACAAAUUAUCUAAUUUCUUUAAACCUCAAUUUGCUUAUCUGUAAAAUAGGUAGAGUAAUACCUGCCCUAUAGAAUUGGAAAGAUAAUUUUAUUUGUCAUAUAUAUAUUUAUAUAUGUCACCUGACAGUCUUUGGCACACAGUAGAUAUUGAAUAUUACUAAUGAUAAUUAUGAUUCUAUGUCUUUCAAUCCAACUUUAGUUACAUUAGUAACAGUGAAUGGAGAAAUUAGAGCAUGAACAUCGGAUUAGUUCAAACCUAUCUCAACUAACAACAGGGAUUGGAUCUCCCAGUCAUAGGCAUAGUUGAUAGGACAGAAAUAAACAUUGUUUUGAAUGCAUAGAUUAUAAAUUAUCUGAACCUAUAUUUCUUUUCUGAAAAUAUAAAAAAUAGUUGAGAAUGACUGAUUCUAUAUUGUGCAAUGUGAAGGACAUGCAUUUCAUCAUAUAUUAGCUUUGAUGCAUGGUUAUACAACCAACAAGAACUAAUGCAUAAUGGGUUUUUGAUAUUAACUCCUGGGUGCUACACACAAGUAGGGCAGAGAGAAAGGACUCUAUUCAGGCUGGCACAGAUUCCUCCUCUAGGUUUUGUGAAUCUCCAACCAAGUUCUACUUUCUUAGUUCUACUAUAAUAAAUUCUUACCAAGUCUGCAGCCUAUCCUGCAGAAUUUACCAUAGUUAUUCUUUUUUAUUAUUAUUGCCUCAUUCUUACUGCCUUUUUUUGUUAUUUGUGCCUUUGCUCUUUCCACAUAUUUAUUAACUGAAUUAGCACAUUUCUAAUGUUUCUUCACAUUUAAUGAGGUGUUGGUAUUUUGAUGGCAGGAAUGAAGAAGUGAGACCCUUGGGUAAGAAUUUUAUUGAACUUCAAUGUAUUUUAUUUUCCAAGAUGUAUAAUUUGCAAAGCCAUAAUAUAUUGUGCAACACAAAGUGAUAUGUGUCCCUACAGUAUCUGAUAUUGUUACGGUUGAAAAUAUAAUGCUCUUAAGGAAAGUUCCUUAGACAAGCUAACCAUAUCCUGAAGAGUCAAAUUUAUUUAAUAGAAAAAGAAAAAAAAAUCCCAUCAUCUGUAAAACACUUCAAAUGUGUUAAAAAUGAUUAGAAAUACAAAACUGAAUUGGAAAUGCCUCUGGAUUAAUUUGAUUAAACAGUCUUAGUCAAGAUUCUUUUGGUGGAAAAUAACAAAAACCUAUUCACACUGGCUGGCACAGGGAGUGGGAGUUUAUUAAUAAGGACACAUGGGUGUCUCAGAGUUCCCAAGGGCAGAAAAUGGGAUUGCAACCUGAAGCUAACAACCCACCCAAACCUAGGCAUAAGCACGUUUUAAGCCUCAAGAUUUCUCUCUACUUCAGUUUUCUCUCUCUGCAGUCAUUAUUUGUGCUUCUUUCUGCCCAGCUGAAGAUGGCUUUCUCUAAGGCAAACUCAGUUCAUGAGCUCAAACGAAGAGCUCAGACCACCUGGUAUCUCUGAGUCCCAAGGGGAAAGAAUAUGAUUCGCCUCGGAUGCAGGAGUCCUGUGGUGAAGGCAUGGCUGCCUGGAUGCCCGAUUUGGGGUGGAAUGGGAUGGGGCAGGGAGGAGAGAUUCCAUCUUGUUUGAUCCUCUUACAGUGCCACUGCAUAAAGCCAGUUUAGUGUGAGCACAAAACAGUUGAAGCUGAAGUAUUUUAUGACAUUCACUUACUGUUAAAAGACUGAAUCUAGAUUUGAACAGCAAAGUGACCUAUGAAGGAAACCUCCUGAAGAAUUUAAGUUCUAAUAAUUUUUACCUGAAAUUAUGGAGAGGUUGUGUAUAAUUGAUUUUAUAUUUAUUUUGCUUUCUUUGGGGGUGAAUUACAUUGCGCCUAAUCAUAAUUUCAAGACCAUGACAGUGGUAUCCUUUAUACGAUUGCUCAAAAAUGUUUCUUAUUUUUUCUCAUGUUUAUCUUUUUCCUUUGCUCCUUUUUCUCCUGUAUUCCACUCUUAGGGUAUUCUUUCUCUCUCUUCCCCUGUUUCUAUUCUCAUUUUCUUUCUCUCAAGGAAUGAAAAGAUGUGUGUGGGUGUUGUAACAAGAGGAAGAGAGGAAAAAUUGAGCAAUGACAAGUUUGAGAGUAGCAAAAUUAUUUUAGUAACUGACUGUCUUAGGAGGAUACAUAUUGAUGUAUAAUUUAUACACAAAUGCAAAUAGUCAUGUAAAUUGGGUGUGUAUUUUAGCUCUUAGAAAAUGACUGCCCACACGUUGCUGUGUAGUCCUGCCCUAUACUUCGGCCUCAGAAGGCCAAUUUGGAGUCGAUAAGAGUUAGAAUUAAGGAGGGUCUGGUGUAAUUGUAAGAUGAAAUGCGUUGUCCUUGUAUUCCCAUAAAAUGACCAAGGCAUGUGAAAGGGUUGAAAGGAGAAUAGAGAGGAGAAUAAAUGGAAGAGAAGAGCAGACAAAAAGACAGCUGGGGUGAUGAGGGGAGGGCAAGAGAAGGGAAGGAGGGGGCUCUGAGCAGGUGAUGGGUCCUGAGCAGGCAUUAUGUAAAUGGUCGUCUGGAGCACAUUUAAUCAGAAAAAGGGCCACUGCUGGCCCAUCCAGUAUCUUUGUGUGAUUUAGGAAAAGACACCCAUUUGCAAUUAUGUGGCUGCAUGAGUGCAUCCCUUGACUGGGUUGGGCACAUCUGUGCAGGACAAACUUAUAUAAUCUUAUGCAGCAUCCUUGAGGGGUGAGAGAGAAGUGAGAAUUGGGAAGUCAGGGUGAAAAUGUAAGGUUUGCAAAGAGCCUUUCCCUUGCUCAUGACCCCUUUCCCUAGCUUGUGGCUGUGUGAGUCACAGUUACACUUUGGGGUAUUAUUGCUUGCAAACCUUGGGUCAGGGAGAAUAAAGGGGAGACUGAUCAGAAGAGAGAAGGGAUAGAGUGUGGGCCAUAUCUCCUCAUGAAGGUGGUAUAGAAACAUAUGUGACUGAUGGCAGAAGGAGGUCUUCAGGUAUAGAAGGCCAAGAGUAUCUAUUAAUAUUUUCUUUCUGCAUUAGGCAUUGGUAGGUGACCAACUUCAUUGGCUAGGAGACCUCCUGCCUCUAUUUCACCCCUUGGUGGAAGAGGAAAAGCACUGAGAUGGGCCAAGACAAGCUACUGUGCUAGGCAGUUACUCAGUUAGUAAGUGAGAGAGAUGGAAUUAGAAUGAGGCCUGGCUGGCUGUAAAGCCCAUGCAUUGUACAUUCUGCCUCAUUACCUUUAUUACUGCUUCUGCCCUUCCUGAGGGCAAUGCUGAUAGCUUCCAGUUUUCACCUAAUGUGCUGCACACUCAUGACAAACAUGCAGCUCCUGUUUCCAGAGUAGCCAUGGAGAAGAAAACUUGUUGCACCAAAUGUUAAGGUGUACAAAUUGUAGGAGACAAGACCCAUGAAGCAGGUAACAAAAAUUGUGACAGAUGAUCUAACAAAAGAAUUUUGUGCAGCUUCAUGCUGUGAAUCAGACUGGAAUACAUAGAUUGAAGAUGAAACAUUCAAACUUCAGAGACUUUGAAGGUUUAGAGAACAAUAGAAUAGAGUGUUUAAAAUAAAAAUUGUCCCAGAAAAUCCUGGGUGUAAGCUCAUGCUACCUAUGAAAACCCACAUAGUCAGUAUACCAUCUCUGACAGGUCCUACAGGGGCAACCAAAAAGUCAUUUGGAAUGAGUAACACAUCUUGCACUAACAUACACAUGCUAGGGAGCUACUUCAAACAAUUGAGCUAAGACAUUAGCUUAGGAGUAUAAGAAAAGAAGGGGACGGGUGCGGUGGCUCACGCCUGCAAUCCCAGCACUUUGGGAGGCCGAGGCAGGCUGAUCACCUGAGGUCAGGAGUUCAAGAUCAGCCUAGCCAACAUGGCAAAACCCCAUCUCUACUAAAAAAAUAUGAAAAUUAGCCAGGUGUGGUGGUGCAUGCCUGUAAUCCCAGCUAUCGGGAGGCUGAUGCAAGAGAAUCGCUUGAACCAGGGAGGUGGAGUUUGCAGUGAGCCGAGAUCGCGCCACUGCACUCCAGCCUGGGUGACAGAGUAAGACUCUGUCUCAGAUAAAUAAAUAAAUAAAUAAAUAAAUAAAUAAAUAAAAAUAUUUUAAAAAGGGAAAGAAAAGAAAAGAGGGGCUAGUAUUUGGAAGAAUUAAUACACCUUUGAGGGACCAAUUUUGUCGAAGAGGCAUAGAGGAACAGGAGACAACCCAAUGAUAAGUAUAGGCAAAACCAUAAAGGGGAAAAAGAAACCAAGAUACUGAGCUACACAUAAAAGAAAGUGGUUUCUCCUUCCUCCUGGUAAUAUGAGAGAUGGCUUUCUGAGUGAUGUGUGCUGCCUUGACAUUGAGGCACUUGCAGUUUUUGAGUGUCCAGUGAUCUCCGUCACCUCUGUACUUCGAUACAUAGUUUCUCCUACCUGGAAUGCUGUUUUCCAUCCUUGCCUUACUAUAAAACAUCCAUUCUUCUUGAAGUCCCAGUUUAAAUAUCUUGUCCUCAUUGAUGCCCUUGCUGAUUUGCUCUUUCCAACUCCCUCCAUAGCAGAGUGGAUCACUCGACAGCUUAGCAACAAAUAUUUGUUGUGUGUCUGAUGUAAGUGGGGCUCUGAGCUAGACACUGGAGAUGAAACAGACCCAGUUUCUGCUCUUGUGAAGAUUUCCCCAGGGGGUGCCACUGCUGAGCCUUAAAAAAGAUACAUUCUACCAUUAUUUAUAUAAUACUUACACAUUGUUUUGAAAUUAUUUACGUGUUUGUAUCCCCUAUUAGACUGUGAAUCCUUGAGGGCAAGCACUGUCUUAAUCCAGUUUUUAUCUUCAAUACCUAGCAGAUUGCCUGGAAUAUAACAGUAACUAAAUGUAUGUAUAUAUAAUGAAUGAAUCUUCUUAGCAUGUUUAUCUUUUGUAAAUUUUCAAACCUUAAGCAUGUACUCAUUCAUCCUUCAUCUUCCAACGCUUCCAUUUUCCUAUAGAAGAGUCUCCAGGGGGAAUCAUCUAGUACCUUCUACAGACUUUUAUUUUCAGAUUUAAUAUCUAUCUUGAGGUGAUCAACCAAAACUGUGGCAGAAUGAUUGUGGCAGGUGGCAUUACAAUGAAUUUGUUUUAUUUUACAUGGCCAUUAUCUGAAACUUUAGAUGCACAAAAAAUAUGCAUUAUUGGGAAUUGUUUUAAUUUUUCAUCACAUGAUUCUUUUAUCUAGCAAGUUCUUCCAGUAUAUUUGAAACAUGAUUCAGUUUACAGAACAUUGAUUUACAAAUAGCUUUAUCAGCAAUAUGUCUAUUGUUUGAAAUAUACAACAGCAAGAUAUGGGAGAAGGAUGAAUGCUAAGUUAAUUAAGAAGAGGGAACAUAAAGCUUUAAUCAAUAGACAUAACAAAUAAAAUGUACUUUAGACUAACAUUAUGGCCAGGUAAGUGGUGGGGAGAGGGACAGAUGAAAAUGGAUGGGCAUGUGCAGUAAGGGGUGGGAUGAAGAGAUACCCAGGGGGAAAGCAAAGAUGAAGAAAACGGAUGGCAGGGAAUGAGAGAGAGUUGGAUGUGUGGGCUGUCAGCAGCAAGGGAGGACAUUCAGAGACUGGAAAUACAAAGCCAUCACACCUCAGAGCAAACAGAAGCAAUGCAGGUGUGUGGAAGGACCCAGCCAUUGCCAGGCAAAGGCCAGUGAAGGCCACAGGUUUAGGAGAGCCAUGAAGAGCUGGGGAGCCAUGAGAAAGGAGGGCAGACAGGCAGUAGAUGGCACCAGGAUGACCUUGGUUCCUGGCCAAAAUCUGUCUUAACUAGAUACUGCACACAUGAGGGUAUUGAUGGAAUUGGAAAAUUAGUAAGAAACGUCAAUAAUUGUGCCUUUAUGCUUGUAUUUCUUUAAAAAUUUUUUUUUUUUGAGAUGGAGUCUUGCUGUGUUGCCCAAGCUGGCGUGCAGUGGCACGAUCUAGGCUCACUGUAACCUUCACUUCCUGGGUUCAAAUGAUUAUCGUAGUGAUUCUCCUGCCUCAGCAUCCCGAGUAGCUGGGAGUACAGGCACCUACCACCAUGCCGGGCUAAUUUUUUAAUAUUUUUAGUAGAGACAGGGUUUCACCAUGUUGGCCAGGCUGGUUUCGAACUCCUGACCUGAUCUGCCUGCCUUGGCCUCCCAACGUACUAGGAUUACAGGUGUGAGCCACCACACCCAGCCUAUUUCUUUAAAAUUUUUACAAAUACUUUAAAAAAUUACACUAAGAAGAAAAGCACUGUGCUAAUUAAUACAGGAAAUACUAGACAAGUUUUCAAAGAGUUUAUGGAGGUAAGACAAAUAUAUAAAUAACCAUAAUAAGGAUCAAAUAUAUUUGUCAAGAACUCUCCAUCCUGUUUCAUUGUUAUUUAAUACUUAAGCUAUAUUUAACAUAUUAUUAAAGUAAUCAUAAUAAACAUGUUUAAGCCACACAGAGAGGCUACCCACCUACCCCACACAGGUAACUACCCUUUAAAAAAAUUAAGUCUUUACUUUUAGAGCAGUUUAGGUUUACAGAAAAAUUGAGCAGAAGGUACAAAUAGUUUCCAUAUACCUCUAUAACUGAUUUUUAAAUUUUUUGAUAUUUAGUUGUUCUGAUGUUCAUCAUUACAACCUUAAAUGGUCACUAAUACUUUCUUUUCUUGAUUUAUUAAUGCUAGAUUGUAUUUAUUGACUUCCUGACAUGAAGGAUGACCUAUUUGUUUCACUUAUAUUUUCUCCCAGCCUCUCUUCUUUUUUUCUUGUUUCAAUUUUUGUUACAUUCAUAUUUUUUAUUUGAAUUUAUACUUCUGCAAUGAAACUUUUCUUGUUUUGACUAUAUGCUUAUUCAAAAAAUUUAAACCUACAAACAGCAUUUUCUAUGUUAUGAUUAUGUGAAGAUUAUCCAGUCGUAUCAGACUUAGUGCCUGGUCAUACAGAAGGAAAUAUCAUCUGGUGUCACUAAACCAUUGAUGCUAAAAGAGAAUAUCUCAAGCGUCAAGGUCCACUGAAUCAUUGUUUAAUUUAUUUUCAACUUUCUUCAUUUCUUUUAGGUCAUAUUCAGCCACCACAGUCUUAUAUCUUAUAUUGUAUUUUUAUAUCUCUUUUUAAUUUUGUUGCAUUAGCUUCUAGCAUCUUUUUUUUUUUUCUACAUGAAACAUAAGUUUUCCAAAUUCUACAUGACCAAAAAAUGCCUUAUUUUGCUCACAUUUGACUUAAUGAUUUGAACAUAGGUGGGUUUUAAGGAUUAAAAAUACUUCCUCACAACUUUAAAAACACUAUUUGAUUGUGUUCUAGUACCCAGACUUGUUGCUGAGAAUGAAUGUGACACUUUACUUCACUAAAUACAUGUAUUCUUUAAAUUACCUAGAAAAGGGCCUGGCAUGAAAUAAGUGCUGUAUUCGUGGUUGAUAAAUAAAAUCACCAAGACUUUUGUCUGAUCUUUCUCUUAUAGGUGAUUACAUAUUUUCUGUUUGCAAACUUUUAGGAUUUUUUUCUUUAUCGUUGGAAUUUUGAAAUUUGGUCAGAGACAUCCAUUGUCUCUGUCUUCUAUUUUUGGAAUGUUUAUUAAACAGCUGUUGGACUCCUUGACUCUAUCCUCCAUAUCACCUAACUUUUCCCUCUACAUUUUCCAUUUUGCUUUGUCUUCUGGAUCAACACCUGAGUUGUUUUAUAGAAAUGAAACUAUGUGACUGCUGGGUAUAUUAAUUAGAUUUCUUAAAAUUUCAUUCUGUGUUCUCUGGACCUUGAAAUACUUCUUUCUUCUUGAGUCAGCUAUUUGGUUUAGUCACUGUGUUAAAGCUUCUUUCUCUAGUUCUUGCUCAAAUGUCUAGUGAGUCCUGGUUAUUGGUUAAUACACAUGAAUGCAUGAAGAGCUAGAUUGAUUAGUGUAUAUUGCUGUUAUGGUUUCUUAUUUCGUUGGGCUGGUGUGUGCCUGCAGGACUUCCUCUCAUGGGAGGGAAAGUAAGUGAGUGAGUCACAUGAAGGGCACUUUGAGGUGAAGCAGGCAUUUGUCUUCAGCUGCCACAGCAGCUCAAGUCAGAAAGGGCUUGCUCCAGGGAAGGAUACCUGAAGAAGAGCUCUCUCCUCCUCUUGUACUUCCUCCUCCUCCCUCCUCAUUUUCUUGUUCGAGCUUUUCCUCCUCAUCCUCCUCCCCCUUUCCUUUAUGAUUUGAGGUGGAGUAUGGAAGUGCAUGAACCUUUGCCCUCCUUCUCCCUCUGCCCCAAGCAUCCACACAUUGAUCCUCACUUAGACAAUUGUCCAUUUUGUUAAGGAGUAUUUGUAAAGCUUCCUCCAAGUAGACAAAAGUUCUGCUAUUUGUAUUCUGUAUACCUUGAAGAGGAGUCAACACUUUCCUGUCUCAGUUGAUCUAAAAAGAAUUAUUCAGUGAACUUGUCUGAUGGCCUCAGAGCCUAUUUCUGCUUUUUGUUGUUUAUCGACACCAAGUUGCUUGUCUUGUUUCCAGCUUCUCCUGGGAGAAACACCUCCUACUUCUGGUGUUUUGGAUGGUGAUGUCCCUUCUAUUUCAUCUUUCUUCUGUCUUUCAGUAUUUCUUCAAACUUUCUGAUGCCCGAAUUGCUCUCUUUCUUAUGUGAUAUCCUUGUUAUGAUUUCACCCUUUAACCAAUAUCCUUUUAGUUAUGUCACUGGGAACUUGGGUUGGAAAAGAGGUAGUUGUGUAUGCUCAUUAGGCCUUCUUGAAAUGGGAGCUUCUAUUUAAAGGUACUAUAUGAAUAGAAAAAUCAUGCUAAGUACUGCUUCUCACUUGACUACACUAAUGGGAAACAGUGCUUCCUGGACUUUUUUUUUCCCCUUAAGAGGGAAUUAGCUGGUGACAAAUUUGAAUCCUGGCCAAAUGCUUGAGGAAGAGGGAAGCUUCAUUAUUAGUAGCCCUGGAAACCCAGAUAUCUACAAAAGUGUAGCCAACACAACUGUCACUUGCUGUUCCUGACAGCUUCCAUACUUGCUGGAAAGUGCAACCACCAUUUCUUCUACCACCUUGACGGCUGCUGCUCUGGGAAUAUGGAAAAACAUGAAGCCUAAACAGUUUUAUUCUCUAAAGUGGGAAUGGCUCAUAAAGAUGUGAGGAGGAAGCAUUCUUUAUGAGGCCUUUUGAAAAUGUCCUCCUUCCUUGUGACUUAGAGUAACACAUCUCUCCUCCUAAAGUAUUCAGCUGGUGGGUGAUGGAGAACAGGGAUGCUCUUAAGAUUCCGGAAAUUUUCAACACAGCAAACACUAUUUCCAGUUUUUCUCAAAACCUUUUGAUUACCAACUUGUGCUUGGAGCCAUCCUGAAAAAAAUCCAAGUUGGUAUAUUUUAUGGGUUUUAUUAUAGUGCUAUUUAUUCUCCAUUUCUGAUAGAUAAAACCAGUGUUAAAUAUGCAGGCUGCAGCUCUGAAACUCCAAAACAGACUGGGUCUGUGUACUCUGCUUUCAGAGAAUCAGAGGGUGGGUGAGGGGUGGGCAGCUGUAAGAGCCAAUUCACAGCCUUCCACUGUGCCGCAGGGUGUAUGGCUCGUGGAUGCUAGCGAAAGCUGGCUUGGGAGUCAGGACACCUGGGGCUUCUGACUCAGCUUACAGGCUGUAGUAAUUGGCUUGUGUCUCUGAGCAAGUCAUUGAACCCCUCUGGACCUCAGUCUCCUCCUUCAUAAAAUGUUUAGGGUUUACUACCACCUCCUCAGGCAACUUCAUGCUGGGUGAUCUCCAAGGUUUAUUUUGAAUAUUCUGUCUCUUUUGAUGAGACUGCCUUUAACAACACACCAAGCAUUUCUGUAAGCAAAAAGAAUACAAGGAAAUAGAAUGCAGUGUUAGUCUGUUUAGGAAACAAUAUUCUCCAUGCCAUAGAUUUAUUCAGCCUAAGAAGGAGUGGAAUGUCCUUCAGUGGUAAAUGAUUUAAGUGAGGUAGUCUUACUAUAAUAGUAUUUCAACUAAAGAGUGUACUUAAGGGAAACUGUUGUGAGUAUGUGGAAUGACACAUCCAUAAAAUAUAUCUCCAGUAUUCUGUGUUUUUUUAGUGGCUGGGGCAAUGUUCAGAUUGAAUACCUCAGUUUAAAAGGGACAUGGAUAAAGAGGAGUACAUGUAAAACAAUAAAUUGAGGAAGAUUUAGGGGUGUGCAGGAGGAGUGGUAGGGGAAGGUAUAGAGAAACCACAGUGCAAAAGAAAAAAGUAAGAGGUGUGCAUAGCAACAUGUGUAGCUCCUAAAGACCACAUUUGAUAAAACAUCUGUGAUAUUACACACUUCCAUUUACAUGAACUAAAAAUACAUGCACCAAAACAAUAAUAUAUAUUAUGUAAGACCACACACAUACAAACAUAAUUUUAAGGCAAUUUAGUAAAAAGAAAAAGCUAGAGGACAUGGGAUUAUUCAGCUUGAUGAACAAAAGAUUUGAGAGGGAUGUGAUAUGUAUUUGUAAGUAAUUAAAGACUGUCCUGUGGAAAAGAGAAGAUUCACUCUGGAUAGCCCUUGAAGGGAGAUAUGGCACUGUCUACUCUGUAGUUUGGGGUGUUGGUCAAUACCAAGUACCUUUUGUCUGUCAGUGAAACCUUGCCAAAUAGGCCAAUUGGACAUAUUUAGGAGGGAGAAAAGGUAACUUGUGUUCGCUUACGUGAAAGUGACCUGCAUAUUGGACACAUUUGAUUAUACGAUGUCUAAUGUCCAUUACAUGGCUAAUAGUCUACAUACUAAGAUAUGAGUAGAACAACCUCCAAUUAACUCCAGAGUAGAUAGGAAAGACAGAGUUAUGAAGAUAUGUGUUGUUCAAGGGGAAAAUGCCAGAUGGCUAGCCACCAGAACAUCCCAAGAGUGAUGCUAGCUUGGUGAAUUUGCCCCUGCCUAGCACUGGGCUAGAAGUACCUAAUAGAACUAUCAUAAUAGCUGUUUUCAAACUUUAAUGUGCAUGCAGAUCACUUGGGGAACCUAUUUUUUAAAGCACCAUUCCCAGAUGAUGGCAAUGUGGGAGGUUUGGGCUGGGAUUAGAAGUUACUGCAGCUUAAACAACCUGGGUGAUUUAUAUAUAGGUGGUGGUUCGAGUCGGGCCAGAUGUUGUAGGCAGAAGUCAGGUUUUGAAAGAGGGCUUUAAUUCCUGACUUCUGGGGACCUUUUAACCCUGAGCUCCUGAGAUUCUCUGCCAACAGCUUGUAAGAGACCCCUAGCUGCACUCUUUCUCCAUUCUGCCUUGGUGGGUCUUGGGUUUCUCGCUUCCGGUUUCCCUGACUGUUGCAGAUAGUUCCUGUCUCUCUUAACAUGGACACUUGACAAGAGUUCCAGAAUAAUGACUAGUGAAUGUCGAUAUUCCUGGAGAUAAAAAUGUUGAUUUAGAAACAGAUACAAAUAUUUAGUACAGAGUUCUUGCUUUUUGGCUGCUAAUGAUUCUUUGAUACAUCAGUGAUCUUGAGUACUAAUUGCAUUUUUUCACAUUUAAAGCCGGUUGAUAAGGUUGGCUUUAGAAAUGAAAGUAGUUUUCUGAAAUUCUGUAUUUUUUAUUUGCUUACUAGUCACUUCUUCCUAACCUAUAUGCACAGGAGUCCAGUGGGCAGCCCUGUGGACAGGUGCAUAUUUCCCUGUAAAGCAGAGUCUCCAUGCCUGGCUGAGCAUCAGCAUCAGCUGGAAGUUUCUUAAAACAGGCAUUCUCAACGGCUUUCAAGUUCUGGUGUCUGAGUCUGACCCCCAGACGUUUCAAUUUAAUUGCUCUGAGAUCUGGCCUUGGCAUCAGGAUUUUAAAAAAAUCCCAGAGGUGGCUGGGCGCGGUGGCUCACGCCUGUAAUCCCAGCACUUUGGGAGGCAGAGGCGGGUGGAUCAUGAGGUCAGGAGAUCAAGACCAUCCUGGCUAACACGGUGAAGCCCCGUCUCUACUAAAAAUACAAAAAAAAAAAAAAAAAAAUUAGCCGGGCGUAGUGGCGGCCCCUCUAGUCCCAGCUACUCAGGAGGCUAAGGCAGGAGAAUGGCGUGAACCUGGGAGGCGGAGCUUGCAGUGAGCCGAGAUCACGCCACUGUGCUCCAGCCUGGGCGACUGAGACUCCUUCUCAAAAAAAAAAAAAAAAAAAAAAAAAAAAAAGAAAAGAAAAAAAUCCCAGAGGUAGUGUUACUGUGCAUUCAAGUUUGAGAACCACUGUUGUUAAGUAUAUUUUCAAGCCUCAACCUAGAGAUUUUGACUUGCUGUGUCUGGAGUGGGGCCGCAAUCUGCAUUUAAAACAUUCUCUAAUUAUUUCUGAUGUUCACUCUUAUUUGGAAACUAUCCGUACCAAUGCAAACAGCUGAGAUUGGGAACCAGGCAGAUUUGCUUUUAAUUCCUGUUUGGUUGUUCAUUAGCUGGCAACUUACAACCUUGGGCAAGUCCAUUAACCUCUCUAAGCUGUUUUUACAUCUGUAAAUGAGGGAUAAUAUGGCAUUGACUUCACGGUCCCACAGUUAAGUGUAGUGGUCACUCACCUCUACCCUGAAGUCAGACUGCUGGAGUUUGGAUCCCAACUCCUCCAUUGGAUAAUUGUGAAUCAUUGAGCAGAUUAUUCUAACCCUGUGCUUCUCAAACUUUCAUGUGCACAUGAAUCAUCUCAGGAACUUGUUAAAAUGCGGGUUUUGAUUUAAUACAUCUGAGGAGGGGCUGGGGUUUUGCAUUUCUAAGGAGCUCCCAGUUCAUAUUGAUGGUACAGACAGGGUGGGGACUGCCAGGCCCAGUGCAAAACGAGGGGCCCCUGGUUCAAAAAGCGAGAAGAAAAUAUUGUUAAAGGUACUAAAAUAUAAAGCUUUUUUCUUUCUUCCAGUCUCACUCAGCUUGUUAUGCUGUGUUUUGUUAUUUAAUGUUGUAAAGAAAUGCUGGAAUUUUAAAUUAUUAGUAUGGUUUAUAAUUUAUCUUUAUGUUGUUCAAUAUCAUUUUUAAAUGCAAAUAUAAGAGCAUUUAACUCAUAUAUGGAUUCACUGAAAUUAUACAAUUCAUAUAUAAUUAUAUAAUUCGUAUUUUGUAGCUGGUGCAUCCAUAUAUAAUUCUUUCUUACCAAAAUAGUGGUCGCACUACACAAAACAGCUGUUUUCAUUUCACUUUUUUAAAAAGUAUUUUAUUUUUCAAUUUUUUUUUAAACUUCUUUAAACUUUUGUUUUAGGUUCGAGGUACAUGCACAGGUUUGAUAUAUAGGUAAAUUGCAUGUCAUGGGGAUUUGGCAUAUAGAUUAUUUCAUCAACAAGGUAAUCAGCAUAGUAUCUAAUAGGUAGUUUUUUGAACCUCUUCCUCCUCCCACUUUCUACCCUCAAGAAUGAAUGCCGUGGUGUCUGUUGUUCCUUUCUUUGUGUUCAUGUAUACUCAAUGUUUAGCUCCCACUUCUAAGUGAGAACAUGUGGUAUUUGGUUUUCUGUUCCUGUGUUAGUUUGCUUAGGAUAAUGGUCUCCAGCUCCAUCCACGUUGCUGCAAAGAACAUGAUCUCAUUCCUUUUAUGGAUGCAUAGUUUUCCAUGGUGUUUGUCACAUUUUCUUUAUCCAGUCUACCAUUGAUGGGUGUUUGGGUUAAUUCCUUGUCUUUGAUAUUGUGAAUAGUGCUGCAAUGAACAUAUGCAUGCAUAUGUCUUUAUGGCAGAAUGAUUUAUACUUCCUUGGGUAAAUACCCAAUAGUGGGAUUGCUGGGUUGAAUGGUAAUUCUGUUUUAGGAACUUAAGCAAAUUUACAAGCAAAAAACAAACAACAACAAACAACACCAUUAAAAAGUGGGCAAAGAACAUGAACAGACACUUUUCAAAAGAAGAAAUACAUGCAGCCAACAAGCAUAUGAAAAAAUGCUCAGCAUCAUUAAUCAUUAGAGAAAUGCAAAUCAAAACCACAGUAAGGUACCAUCUUACACCAAUCAGAAUGGCUAUUACUAAAAAGUCAAAAAAUAACAGUUACUGGUGAGGCUUUGGAGAAAAGGGAAUGCAUAUACACUGUUGGUGGGGAUGUAAGUUAGUUCAGCUGUUGUGAAAAGCAGUUUGGUGAUUUCUCAAAGAACUUUAUUUUAGAUUCAGGAGUUACAUGUACAGGUUUGUUAUCUGGGUAUAUUGUGUAAUGUUCAGGUUUAAGCUUCUGUGAACCCAUCACCCAAAUACUGAAUGUAGUACCCAACAGGUAGUUUUUCAGUCCAUAUCCCUGCCCCCAGUGACUAUUAUUUCCAUCUUUAUGUCCAUGUGUACCCAUUAUUUAGCUCCCACUUAUAAGUAAGAACAUAUAAUAUUAGAUUUUCUGUUUCUGAUUUAGUUCCCUUAGGAUAAUGACUUCCAGUUCCAUCUAUGUUGCUAAAAAGGACAUGAUUUCAUUCUUUUUUAUGGUUGCAUAAUGCACAGUGUGUGUGUGUGUGUGUGUGUGUGUGUAUGUGUGUAUAUAUAUAUAUAUAUAUAUGCAUAUAUAAUAUUUUCUUUAGUCAACCAUUGAUGGACAGUAGGUUGAUUCUCUAACUUUACUGUUGUGAAUAGUGCUGUGAUAAACAAAAGCAGGUGUCUUUCUUAUAUAAUGAUUUCUUUUCCUUUGGGUAGAUGCCAAGUAGUGGGAUUGCUGUGUCCAAUGGUAGUUCUAUUUUUGUUCUUUGAGAAAUCUCCAUUGUAUUAGUCUGUUCGUAGCUGCUAAUAAAGACAUACCUGAGGCUGGGUAAUUUAUAAAGGGAAGAGGUUUAAUUGACUCACAGUUCCACAUGGCUGGGGAGGCUUCACAAUCAUGGUGGAAAAGCAAGGGAUGUCUUAUGUGGCGGCAGGAAAGAGAGAAUGAGAAUCAAGCGAAAGGGGAAAACCUUUAUAAAAUCAUCAGAUCUCCUGAGGCUUAUUCAUUACCAUGAGAACAGUGUGGGGGAAACCGCCACCAUGAUUCAAUUAUCUCCCACCGGGUUCCUCCCACAACACAUGGGAAUUAUGGGAGCGACAAUUCAAGAUGAGAUUUGGGUGGGGGACUCAGCCAAGCUAUAUCAUCCCUAUUAUUUUCCCUAGAGUUGUACUAAUUUACAUUCCCACCAACAAUGUAUAAGCAUUCCCUUUUCUCUUCAUCCUUGCCAACAUCUCUUAUAUUUUUUACUUUUUAAUAAUAACCAUUCUGACUGGUUUGAGAUAAUAUCUCACUGUGGUUUUAAUUUGCAUUUCUCUGAUGAUUAGUGAUGUUUAGCAUUUUUCUCAUAUAUUUGUUGGCCGCAUAUGUGUCUUCUUUUGAAGUGUCUGUUCAUGUCUUUUGCCCACUUUUUAAUGGGAUUGUUUUUUACUUGUUGAUUUGUGUUAGUUUCUUAUCGAUUCUGGGUAUUAGUCUUUUGUCAGAUGCAUAGUUUGCAAAUAUAUCUCCCACUUUGUAGGUUGUCUGUUUACUCUGUUGAUUGUUUCUUUACUGUGCAGAAACUCUUUAGUUUAAUUAAGUCCCAUUUAUCUAGUUUUGUUGCAUUUGCUCUUGAGGUGUUAGUCAUAAAUUCUUUACCUAGGCCAAUGUCCAGAAGGUUUUCCUAGGUUUUCUUAUAACAUUCUUAUAGUUUCAGGUCUUAUAUUUAAGUCUUGAAUCCAUCUUGGUUAAUUUUUCUAUAUGAUGAGAGAUAGGGAUCCAGUUUCCUUCCUCUGCAUAUGGCUAGCUAGUUUUCCCAGCACCAUUUAUUGAAUAGGGUGUCCUCUCUUUAUUGUUUAUUUUUGUCAGCUUUGUUGAAGAUCAGUUGGUUAUAGGUAUGUGGCUUUGCUGCAGGUUUCUCUAUUCUGUUCCACUGAUACAUGUGUAUAUUUUUGUCUAUUUUUAUAUGACACAUGUGUCUAUUUUUGUAUUAGUACCAUGCUGUUUGGUUACUAUAGAUUUGCAGAAUAGUUUGCAGUCAGGUAAUGUGAUGUCUCCAGCUUUGUUAUUUUUGCUUAGGAUUGCUUUUGCCAUUCAGGCUCUUUUUUGGUUCCAUAUGAAUUUUAGAAUUGUUUUUUCCAAUUCUGUGAAAAAUAAAACUGGUAAUGUGCUGAGAAUUGCAUUGAAUCUAUAGAUUGCUUUGAACAGCAUGGUCAUUUUCACAAUAUUGAUUCUUCCUAUCCAUGAGCAUAGGAUAUUUUUCCAUGGCUAUUGUAAAUGGGAUUGAGUUCUUAAUUUGGUUCUCAGCAUGAGCAUUGUUAGCAUAUAGAAAUGGAACUAAUUUUUAUACAAUGAUUUUGUAUCCUUAUUCUUUAUUGAAGAUGCUUUUCAAGUUAGGAGUCUUCUGUGGUAGUCUUUGGGGUUUUCUAGGUGUACAAUCAUGUCAUCAACAAACAGAGAUAAUUUGACUCGCUCUUUCCCAAUUUGGAUGCUGGUCCUCUGCGGUUGCCAAAGUCAGAGAAGUUUCUAGGGUAUGUUGGUGGGGGUAUCUGGUGAUGUAGUAACUCAAGGUGUAAGGUUCCCCAGGCAGAGAGCAGUGGCCCACAAUAAUUACACAACCACUCUGGUGCUUGCCAUCUCAGUUCAGGCCUGAGGGGAGUACAGGUGCCCCUGCGUGAGCUGGCCCCUGGUUCUCUGUCCCCGGGAAGUCCUCAAAUCACUACUAACAGCAUUGCACUGGGUUGUGAGGGCAGAGGUACUCCUUGACAAUUUAGCAGUCAGGAGAUUGUUCCAGGGGUGAGGGGAGCACAGAAGCACCCCCACCUACCCUUUCCAUGUGGCUUCGAGUUCCUCAGGGGUCCAUCUUUGCCAGAUGCCUGCUGCUUUGCUUUUCUGCAUCCCAGCUUCUUCCCGUGGGCACUCUGACAGAGCCUGGCUCUCUUCCUUUAGUUUUCCAUUCAGAUGAUGACCAUUCACCUGGAACAUUGAACUUCUUUGAGGAGAACUGACAUCUGAUGUUCCUAGUCAGCCAUCAUGAAAAAGAAAUUAUUUCACUUCUUGAUACACACAUACAUAGUCUAUAAUAUUUUCUACCUUCAGGUUAUUUAUGAGUAGGGAAGAAUUCAAAGAAAAGGAGCUGUGAGUUUCUCUUAUCUUUUCCUCCUGUGUCAUUUUCAGCAUGUGUCUGACUAACACAGGGAUGAAAGGAUUCCUUGGUAGCUUGUGCUUCUUAGAAUGCCAUUUUCUUCUUUCUGUAUUCAAAGCAUGUGCCGUUGCAAAAGGAAGGUAUGGUUUCUUGGAGCUGCCACCACUCUCGCUUACUAAGUCAUGGACUUAACAUGCUUACCUUGUACUUGCUUUGAGUCUUACUGAACUCCCACAUAUCAUGAGUCCAAUGGAAUUCUGUGAUUAUGGACAUUGCAAAUGCUAUUUGUGAAUGGGGUGUCAAGGAAUGGUAAAUAUAUAUGUUGCCUGCAUCGCCUUUGUGUGUGUGUGUGUUUCAGUGCAUUUUUACUUACAAAACGCAAGUUGAAAGAUAAAAUUGUUAAAAAAUUCAAGACAACAGAACAUUAAACAAAGUGUGGCCAUCCUAAGCGAAUGACCCCAUGUGACUGUAGAAGUUGUACACCCAGGCCAGGCGCAGUGGCUCAUGCCUGUAAUCCCAGGACUUUGGGAGGCCGAGGCAGGCAGAUCACCUGAGGUCAGGAGUUCGAGACCAGCCUGGCCAACAUGGUGAAACCCCCUCUCUACUAAAAAUACAAAAAUUAGCUGGGUGUGGUGGCAGGUGCCUGUAGUCCUAGCUACUUGGGAGGCUGAGGCAGGAGAAUUGCUUGAACCUGGGAGGCAGAUGUUGCAGUGAGCCGAGAUCGUGCCAUUGCACUCCAGCCUGGCUGGGGGACAAGAGCGAGACUUCAUCUCAAAAAAAAAAAAAAAAAAAAAAAGAAGUUGCACACCCAUGAAGCCAACCCAUGCCAUAUUUGAGUAGCAAGGAUCUAGUCUCUCCAGGAUUGCUAUGAACUGAGAGUAGAGAAACGGUACGUACCUUGCAGGCAGAUCCCAUCAUGUAGUAGGACUUAGCAAAUGUUGAUUCCUUUGUUUUCUUGUUUUCCCACUUCUCCCCUCUGAAGAAAUAGUUGCUCCAUAGAAAAUCCUCCACAGUACUGAAAUGAGGCUGCCUCACCAUUGGGGAUAGUGAAAAGGACAAUUUCCUUUGAACACACUCAUUUUCUGAUUGAAGAGUAAGUAACCCAGGGCUGGGCUGGGCUUUUUCUCCAGCCCUGAGAAGAGAUAUAUGACUCAUCAUGGCCAAGUGUGGUCAGGGGCCUAGGAACUCCUGUAUUAGAGUUCUAGGGAAGAAAAAGAGAACUAGUUUCUCAAUCACUGAGUGGGAGGACUGCAGCAUUUGCCUGUGUUUGUCCCUUGUCUUCCUGCUGCUUUUGUUCUCUGAGCUAAUUCCUGUUUGAAGAGCUGAUAUUUAAUUCAACAGCCCCCCAUGGAGCCUUGUGCCUGUGAUAGAAGUUUCUAAAAAUCUCUCAGUCAACAACAUGAUAACAGCUGCUCUUUGAAACUCUGGGAGCUCUAGAUUGGGGAGGUGCUGGGGGAGGGAGAACUAAGGGAGCCAGGGAUUGGGGCUGGGGAAUGCACUAUUUGUUAAGGAUAAUGAGGCAAAAAUGUGACAGAGGUUUUUAUUACAAAUAAUAGACAGAAGUCUUCAAACAACAGCAGAGAGUCAUUAAAAAAAGAAACAGAGUUAAAUAAUUGUCUAAUUAGCAGGCACCAAGAAGGAAAAAUUUAUUCCAUUAGAACUUCUUAAGGGAGAGUCAAUAAAUUCACAGCUGGGUGUUCGCUUUCUCAGGAAUACAGAGAAUGUGGAUUUUCCUGGUGCCAAGUUGUUCUUCCAUUCCUCGGCCAAGUUUCCAUUCUGAUUAACUCAAGGUGAGCCUUACCUCAGAGAACUGCUAGGUUCAAUUGCUUUACUCAAUCAUGUUAUUAAGCUCUGGCCCAACUAGUGGGACUUAAAGUCAGGAACUGCAGGUACUGCUACUAUUAACAAUUCUAUCAGCUGAUAUGCACAUAGUGCUUCCCAGCUUAUGAAACAUGUUGACAUAGAUUAUUUCAUCAAAUUCUUACAGCCAGUCAGUAAGCGUGGCUGAGCUUGUAUGAAUGUUGAGCAUGGGUAGCAACCACCUGGUGGGAACCCAAACCAUCUGGAGCCAUGCAGAUCACUGUCUGCAUUAAUAUGACUUAUUUCAAGAAAUUCUUGCCCAGGAAUACGAUGUUGCGAAUUAUUAUUUGGCUAUAAGACUUCCUGGAACCCAUUUAUCUGAAUGAAAGAUGAUCCAACUAUCCCUUGUUAGAAUAAAUAACUCACUUUUGGGACAAGAGGUCACUUCAGACUUACCAUGCCACUGUUUACUCUUCCAGAUUCACUUGGAACCCUUUCCUUGCUAUGGCCAUUAAUCCUAAACUGCUUUAUCAGGAACUUGGCCCAAUCUGAGUUAGUUUCCUUCCUUGGAUACCUGCCUUAAACCAGAUCCUCAAACCUCAUAAAUAUCCCUCCUAGAAAAUAAGACUCUGUCAAGGGAGUAUUCUUUCUUAUUUCAGUAGGCAAUGAACUUGAUGCUGUUUUAUCAACAAGUUGAUUAAGUGAUGAUUAGGGUAUCAGUAAUCAACAUUGAUUUGAACCCUGGCUAGCUACAACACUUCCUAGCUGUGUGAUCUUGGGAAACAUUUCUGAGAUGGUUAAUACUGAGUGUCAACUUGAUUGGACUGAAGGAUGUAAAGUAUUGUUCCUGGGUGUGUCUGUAAGGGUGUUGCCAAAGGAGAUCAAUGGACUGGGAGAGGCAGACCCACCCUCAAUCUGGGUGGGCACCAUCUAACCAACUGCUAGCGUGGCUAGAAUAAAGCAGGCAGAAGGACGUGGAAGGACUUGACUUCCUGAAUCUUCUGGUCCUCAUCUUUUCCCCGUGCUGGAUGCUUGCUGCCCUCAAACAUCGGACUCCAAGUUCUUCAGCUUUGGGACUCUUGGACUUACAAGCUCUCUGGCCUUCGGCAACAGACUGAAGGCUGCACUUUCGGAUUCCCUACUUUUGAGAUUUUGGGACUCAGACUGGCUUCCUGGUUCCUCAGCUUGCAGACGGCCUAUUGUAGGACUUCACAAGGUGAUGUCAAUUCUCCUAAUAAAUGCCCCUUCAUCAUAUAUACAUCUAUCCUAUUUGUUCUGUCCCUCUAGAGAAACCUAAUACAAUUUCUUAACCUGUCUGUGCCUCAUUUUUUGCGUAUUUAAAAUGAGUGCCAACCACAGUGGGUUAUUAUAAGUUUUAAAUGAGUUAAUACAGGAGAAGCCCUCAUGUACUUGGCAUAUAACAGGAUCUCAAUAAAUAUGGGAAACGUUGCUCAAAGGGCAGAAACUUUUCAUUAUAAAUUAUGGAGAUCUCAUGUGCAGCCUGGUGACUGUAGUAAAUAAUACUGUAUAAUACUGUAUCGUUUACUUGAAAUUUGAUAAGAGAGUAGAUUUUUGUGUCCUUAACACACACACACACACACACACACACAUAUGUAACUAUGCAUGGUGAUGGAUGUGUUAGUUUUACUGCAGUAAUCAUUAUAUAGUAUAUAUGUACAUCAGAUUAUCAUGUAAUAACUGAAUAUAUACACUUUUUCUCAAAUAUGUUGCAAUAAAAAAUACACAUGUAGCCAUAUAUAUAAUCUACCUUUAUAUUUAUUGCUUAUAUAUUAUUUAUAUAUUAUUUAAAUCUGUCAAAUGGGCUGACCAAUGCUCUCAUCCAUUUUCCUGAUAUACACUUCCCUAAAGCAAAGCUGCCUAAGGGAAAUAAAAUACCAUAUGCUUUUGAUUCACAAUGACAUUACAUACUUAAUUUCCUCCAUUUCUAAAAUGGCAUCAGCUAGAAAAUAUCAAUUUAAACAUAGUUGAGGGCAAAAAAAGGUAACACUACCAUACUAAGUGUAUACAUUAGUUAUAACGUGCAUACCAUUUUCAGAAAUUAUAAAAUGUAGGACAAACUAUCUAAGGAUUAAGUGAAAUUGCAGUUCUCUCCUGAAGCCUUCAGAGAACUCAUGGGGAAAAUGGAAGUUUCUUUGAGGUGCUUUCAAACCCAUCACUAUAGCUAAGUGCUUUAUGAGUCCCUCCUGGGGGCAGGAGAGGCCAGCUUGGAGAAAAGGGCAGUGAGUGUAAAUUCAUUCACACAUUUGAGUACCUCACAGAUUUGGUCUUGGGGCCCUAUGUUUGCAGAUACUUGGAGUGUGUUUGUUGCAGGCUGGAGCUAAUGUUAGCCUAAGGGAGGCCUAGGAGAGGAACCCUCCUCCCACAGAGCUGGCACUCUGCUUGGCUGUGCUGACAGAAAGUAUUGAUGCAGCCAUCAUUUGCUGUCUCAUAGAGAACAUUUGCUUCAUGUCUACUCAUUGGUCUCUUCCUCCUUAGUCUCACCUCAUAGCCUAUUCAUUACCGCUGAAAGUGAUUCAGAUUGUCAAGGCCCAUCUUCUAUACAGCGCUUCCCAAAGUGACGUCGGUAGACCAGUACCAGUAAGAAAACUGUUUCUAGUCUGAUAAGGUGAGUAGAGAAAUUGAGAGUGUUUAGACAUUUUAUAGCCAUUUAACCUAGCCAUGAAAUCCUAGUAGAUGAUCAAUGACCUUAUCUCACUGAAUAGGGUAUGGGAAAUUUCAGGUAUUGUGUUCUGCCCAUGGUGAGGUGCAUAGAGGGCAAGCUACAUACUGCUCAUGUGCAGUGGCACUACAUUCUAGCCUGCAGUGGGCUGAACAUUAAACAAUCAAACAGAGCAAACAAUUAAAAAGACUGGCCCAUCACCACAGAUAGACUGAGAAUACUGUUCUAAAAGGUAGUCAUUUUUAUAUGGACGUAUAUAUUGUACCUGGCCUUUCAGCAGCUGCCACCGUAUCAUGGAAAGGCCUUGGAACACUAACCUGGGACCAAGAGUUCCCAGCCCAAAUAGCUGAGAAUGAUUAAUGUUUAUAGUUCAUUUGUAUUUGACAUUGUUCUAUAAACCAAAAUGUAAUGCUGUAUUAAAGCUGUCUAGAUGUGGACAAGUAUGGAUUGCCUACUUCUUUACUACAUGAAAAUUAUGGUUUGAAGCAAGUUUUAAAGAAACUGUGGAAUGUAGACAUACAUCAGCAUACUUCUGCGGUGUUCAGUAUUAAUCAGAACAUGAUGUUGGCUUGUGGCAUCACUGGUCUCACUUCCAGUGUGAAGCCUUUCUGAGCUGUCCUUCCUAUAGUUCAGGAAUACUUUUGGUGUUAGGAAAAUAAGUAUUUCCUUCCAGAGGCUCUAGAAGUUUUUCUUUAUCAAAGCAAAGUGAUAAGAUGCUCUCUUAACAGUCAUUCAUUUCAAAGGGCAAUUUCUUAAUGACUUGACCCUCUAACUCUCUCAUAGUUAGACCAUGAGAAUGUACCUUAAUUAAAACAAAAGUUUACUUGAUUUAGAUUAAGCAACUAUAUCAAAGGUCUUCCCCUUCUUUCUCUUCAAUAAUCCUCUAACAUUCCUUAAGUUUCUAACUAUAGCUGACAAAAUUGUUUUUAAUGUAAAAUUUAUACAUUUCUUCCCUAUGGAAUUAUGUGUGUGUGUGUGUGUGUGUGUGUGUGUGUGUGUGUGUAUAUAUAUAUAGUUUGAAUAGACAGACUGUUUUAACAUUGUUUUUCAGAGUCACUUGCAGUAUCUAUCUGUUUCUGAACCCUCUCUGUUGUAUGUUAACUUGAAAGUUACAAGUUGAGCAUCCCUAAUCAGAAGAUCUUCAAACCAUAAUGCUCAACAAUCCCAAACAUUUUGAGUGACAACGUGAUGCUCAGAGGAAAUGCUCAUUGCAGCGUACUGGAUUUCAAAUUUUAAGAUCAGAGAUGCUCAAUCGGUAUGCAUUUCUGCAAAUACAGUCAUGUGUCACUUAAUGAAGGGGCUGCAUUCUGGGAAAUGUGUCAUCAGGUGAUUUCAUCAUUAUGUAAAAACCAUAGGGUGUACUUAUACAAACCUAGAUUUUAUAGCCUACUACACACCUAGCCAAUAUUAUUCCCUACCCCUAAACCUUCCAUUACCUUCUCACUUCCUACAGAAGAAGCUCUAGACUCUUCAGGGACUGGGCUCCCCUAAAUGGCUUUUCUAAUUUUGUUUUCCACCAAAUCCCCCAUUGUCCUAUGUUCUAGUCCUAUAAAUAAUGAAUAUGUGUCUUUCUCUUUCACAUUCUAGGCCUUCAGUUAUAUUCACCCGUCAACCUACAAUGCCUUUUCCUUUAUUCUCACCCUUUUGUGCUCCAGUCCUACAUCCUUCUUAAAUCCUUCUUGGUUCCUCCCAUGUAGAAUGAGCUGUACCUCUGUGGGGCCUCCAUAGACAUUCCUUGUACCUCAGGCUAGUGCUUUUUUAAAUUCUGUCAUAUUUUCUAAUUAGUCGUUCUGAGACUGUCCUGAUGAAAUUAUAUGCAUUUUUGAGAGCAGGGGAAGUGUUGCAUUCUUCCCUUCUCCAACACAAGCAUGAUGUCUUGGUGACAUCCGGCUUUCAAUGUUGGUAGAAUGAUUGAAUAUGGGUGACACAGGAGCAACUAAGGAGAUACAGCCCAAGCUGUAACAUAUUGUUUUUUCCAUACUACUCUGUUUGCUACCUGGUUCUUCACUGCAGUGGCAGCCUGCUCAACAGUGGGGACCCUAGUCCUUUCCUGACUAUCAAACACCUGUGCUUUUAAAAAUCAUGAUGAAUUGCCUGCGUUUUCUCAUGUUAGGUUUAUAGCAAUACUUUUCUUAGAGCUUCUUCUGAUGUCUCUUCAAUCCCUUCCUCAGUUUUAGUAAACAUGUAGUCUUUUAUAAUAUUUGAAAAUACUGUAUGUUUGUAGAACUUAUAGUAGUAAAGUGAAUAAAUUUCAGCCAAAGAGCAGGAAUUCCACGUUGAGGUCAGAGAAAGUAUGGAAUGUUGUUCAUUAUCCAUAUAUCACUGCGGCAAGAAUCCAAGAUAUUUUGUAAAUGGCCCAAGAUCAAUAGUGAUAAGUGGCCUGAGAGAUCAUACACCAAGACUUUCUAGAGGCAGUUGCAAAAUGUGAUGUUGCUAGUUAUAAUCAGACUUUUUCCAAUUUCCUAUUAUAGGUAGUUACGUUAUUAAUAUGUUUUUCAUUCAGUGGCUUUUCUUUUGUGUUUAUAAUUUAGAAUGAACACAUUCAAAAGCUUCCUAAUAAUGUUUUUGAAUUAUUUUUACAGGUGUGAUGUUAAACUGAGAAACUACAUUUUCUUUUGUUUGGCUUCAAAUGCGUUGAUUUCCUUGUGUGAGAUGGGUUUGCUUUAUCUAUCAUAUUUUACACUUUUAUUCUUGUAUUUGUUUCACACUGUACGUUUCCUUCAUGAAAAUUGUUACACACUUAUAGGAUUCUUGGUUUAAUAUCUGUCUCCCCUGCUAGACCGUAAGCUCUAUGAGGACAGGACAAUGUGUGGCCUGUUCAUCCCUGUAUUAGUAACUAGCCAGUGCCAGGCACACAUGUAUCAGUGCUCAAUAAAUAUUUGUUGAUUAAAUAAAUGAAUCUAUUAUUUAUUCAUUAUAUAUUUUCUACUUUCUACCAUUGUUCCCCCAUGUAAUUUUGAACAGAAAUGAAGAAAACUGGCCACUUAUCUAUGUGAAUCUUGUGUCCCCCCUGAUGUUUUGUUUUGAAUCUGCAAAAACAAAGGUACUUUAGUCAGUUUCAGUCUGGGGGCAGAGCCAUUUUGAGUCAUAAAGAACAGUUUUACAAUAGGAUGACCCAACACAGUUGAAGGGUUAAAUUACAGGGAAGAAAAUCACUCAGCUACAUGCUAAUGUAGCAAUGGGUGAGGGAUUGAUUUAAAAAGUGUUUACAUUCAAUCCUUUAUUUCCUCCUUUGCUAUAACUCUCUAUCCUCCUUUACUUAUUUAUUUCAUGACUCCCUGGGUUAUUAUUUCAGCUUUACCCCAGAUUAGGGGUAGAGACUAGGAUCAUAACAGCUAUCUUUUUCUUCUCCUAAGUGUAAGAGGUGCUCAUUGGAGCUACCUUAUGGGUACAGCAGAAUAGAGACUAGGAAUGCAGGUUGGGUCUCUUUUCUUAGCAAUAUGGACUCAGGACACCAUAAAGUAAAUGGAAGGAUAAAAUGAGAGCAAAAUACUUUCAAAACUCCUUAUAGUUUAUGUGUUCAAUAAAUAUUAAGUUGCUAUUAUACGCAAGGCAUUGUUCUAAAUACUUAUAGUUUAUUGCUUAUGAUUAACUUUAGUUAACCGCAGAUUAAAAAUACUUAUCAGUGUAGAUACUGAAUGGGUUUUAGUGUGAAUUACUAAUCCCUCUUCCUAGUGGACACUGAAGCUAAGAAUGGCUACUCAUUUUCUCUCCUGCUGUGCAUCCUCUUGUUUUUUACCUUCCAGUUCUUCUUCCUUGGCCAGAGCUAAAAAGUGUUGGUCCAUGCCAAAUUGGGUAGUUAUUGGUAGCAAAAUUGGUUGUGCUCCCUGGAGAAAUCUCUUGCUCCUUAUGUUACUACUCAAAGGCCAGUCCCUUGUAUACUCAGAGCUCAAGCCCGGUGCAGCUCAUAUUCCUUCUGUUGUUAUGCUGUUGUUACCAGCUGAUUGUAUACCACUUUCUGUAACACAGUACAUUAGAAGUUAUGGCUACUUUUUAUGCAACUCUUCCUAGAAAUAAAAAGAUUAUCUUUAUAAUAAAGGAGCUAUCUUGAAGAUAGUGUUUUUUAAUUUUUAAACUUAAAUUUCUUUUUAUAGUUUUAAGGCAAAAAACAAAAGAGCUCUUUCUGUGGAGAGCUGCAUGAAAAACUAUUUCUCCAUUUCUCUAAAGCCCUUUCAUACUGAACAUUUCUAAUCUUUCAGUGCAAGUGCAUUCUUUCUGAGAGAUGGCUCAUCUCUUGGACUAUUUGUCUGGGAGAUUUGUGAGAGAUUUCUGCUGCUGACUGAGGCAAAAAUUUGCUUUUGAGCUUUUUCCCACUCCCCAUGUAAAUACCAAUUUUCUGUCACUUUGUGAAUUAUGUUUCCUCUCUCUCUCUCUCUCUCUCUCUCUCUCUCUACCAUAGUGAUAUACAUGCCACAUAGAUAAGUUCUUCAAACCUUUACAUUCCAGGUCAAAAAUUAUCCUUGGCCCAUAUGGUUGUUUCCCUUCUUUCCUGUGUUUGAAAAUAAAGCAUAAUGUAAAGGGGAUCAUUUGGGAAGUAGACCCAGUGUCUGGUGUCAUUAUAGACAAAAUAUCAACCUAGGUCUUCAUCUAUUUCAUUAGGGAGUGUGACAUUAAUUUUGUGUGUCAAUCUGACCAGGCUGUGGAGUGCUGAGAUGUUUGGUUAAACAUUACUCUGGAUGUGCCUGUGAGGGUGUUUCUGGAUGAGAUUAACAUUUGAGUCACUAGACUGAGUAAAGCACAUUUCCCCCACCCCAUGUAGGUAGGCCUCACCCAAUCGUUGAAGGCCAGAAUAUAACAAAAGUCUGAAUGAGGAAGAAUUUGCUCUCUCUGCCCAUCUUUGAGUUGGGACAUGGGUUUUGUCUUGCCUUUAGAUUCUGACUUGGCCUGGGAUGUCUACCAUAAGCUCCCCUGGUUCUCAGGCUUUCGGGCUCAGGUUGGAAGUGUACCAUUGGUUCUCCUGGGUCUUCAGCUUGCCAGCUGCAGAGCUGGGGACUUCCUAGCCUCCAUAAUUGCGUGAGUCAAUUCCUUAUAGUAAAUUUCUCUCUCUCUAUCAAUCAAUGUAACAUAUAUCUAUAAUUCGUAUCUACAUUCUUUUGGUUCUGCUUCUGGAGAACCCCCAUACAGGAAGCAUAUUUUAGAAAGUCACAGAAAGCAUUAUUGGUUCAUUUUGAUGAACUCAUUUUGAUGAAUCAAUUCAGUUCAUCGGCUAUUUAUUAAGCAUCUGCUAGAUUCAAAGCAAUGAAAUGUGCUAAGUGCUGCAAGGACCAUAACGAUAAAGGAGUGUCCAGCUUUACAGCAAGUUUUUAAACUUGCUCUUAAAUUAUCAUAAGGCAGGGGGUUUUAAUAGCCUUGAAAGGGAUGCUACCCAAAUGUUUGGAAGUUUUGGUGGAAGGGAAAGAGACUUUGGUUAUGUAGUGUGGGGAAAGCUUUAUAAAUUAGGAGGCAGCACAAGUAAAGCUCAGUUCUCUAAUGUCACUCAAUUUCCCAACUAUUGUCCUCCUUCUCUUAUUUAUAUGCAAACAACCCUGAACUCCCCUGGUUGGUAUUGCAGGACAUGUUAAAAUCAUGAAGAUACUAUUCUUAAUAAAGAUUUAAUACUCAUUCAAUCAAAUAACAUAGCAUCAAAAGAAAUAGAGCAAAAACUAUCAAUGCGAAGUAGACUGAAACAUAUUAGUACAAGUAGACUUUAAAUAGCUUUCCCCUCAGUGCAUCAACAAAUUAAGUGGACAAAUGAGUAAGUAAAAAUGCAGAAGAGCUAGAAAACAUAAUUAACAACGUAGCUCUAACUGAUAUAGCUACAUCAAUCUACAGUGCACCAUACCCUGAAAAUAGAGAAACAAUCUUCUUAACAAGUACUGUGAAACAUUUACAAAAGUAGAAUUAUAUUAGGCCCUAAAGAAACAUUCCAAAAAAUUUUAAAACUAUAGAAAGCCAUCUCAGAAUCUAACACAAUAACAUUAAAGAUUAAUUAACAAACCAGAAAACAAAGAUUUCUGACAUUAGUAAACUAAAAUCUCUUUCUUAAACCCUUUUUAGGUUAAAAAUGAACUCAAAACUGAAAGUGGAGAAUAUCCAGAAAAUUAACAUAAUAAAUUGUGUAUCAGAAUAUGAGGAAUGUAAUUAAAGCUAAACUCAUCAAAUUAAAAGAAAGCAGUCUUAAAUAUUUAUAGUAAUGCUCUCUAUGAAAGUAGAAAAACUGAAAAUACUAAAAACUACUAAGUAAAACAGAAGAAAAGAACUAACAAAAUAAGUUCAGAAAUUAAGAAAGUCCUAAGUGGAAGAAUUGCAUGAGCCCAGGAGCUGCCGUGGGCUGUGAUUGUGCCACUGCACUCCAGCGUGGGUGACAGAGUGAGACCCUAUCUCAGAAAAAAAAAAAAAAAAGGAAGAAAAAGAAAUUAAGAAAGUCAUAAACAGAAAAACAAUGGAACUAAUAAAUUCAAGAACUGUAUUAUAAAUAAAAACAUUAAAAAUAACAAUCAACUAACCUGAUAAAGAUACGCAGUAAAGAAAAUACCAUUUGCAAAUAUUUCCUUAAGGAAAUACAAAAGCAGGUUCUGCAAAGAGUGAUGCUGCAGGUUCAGUUUCUAGGGUCUGUUUUUUUGCGAUGUUCAUUACUAUGGUUUCUUGUUUUGACUUGCAGCCUUUACAUUGUCUUCCUUUCAAAUAGGUGACACUAUUUCCUCUUGUGAAUGAAGAGAUUGGUUGUUCAUGCAGCACAGGAAUUGAACUGUGGAUCUUAGUCCCUGGGGGCUUCAGGAACCAUUGUCUACACUCUCCUCCUGCCUGUUCCUCACCUCUAACACUCCAUGGUGAGGGUGACAUAGUGAGAAGGCCCUGGAUUAGGGAUCAUGCUACCUGAGUUAUAUUAAUAAUUACAUUUCUGCUAUGAAUUUGGGUAUUCUCAGGCCAAAGCCUCUCGGAAUCCCUGUUUUCUCUUCUGCAAGACAAUGAGUUUGGAUUUGAUAAUUUCUUCUGAAGUCUCUUACAGAGAUAAUAUUUUGGAUGCAAUAUCUUUUGAUUGUUGGUGUCCUGUUCUCCAUAACUUCUGUAGUUACUAAUACUUGGUUGCCCUGCCCUCUACUGUCUUCCACCUAGGGUAGUGUCAUGUCAUCAGCUGGAGUAUGCAGUGACUUCAGAUUUUUUUGGCAACUUUGCCAAUACUAGUUAUCAAAAUUUCAGCAAUUCAUUUUCUCCUUGAACAUCUGUACCAAAACAUUUUUUAUUUGGUUUUGUUGUGGUGAUUGACAGUUCAAUAAGAACUAAGCCAAACUCUUAAGCACUUCUUUUUCAAACCAGGAAAUAUAUAUAUAUAUAUAAUUUUUUUUUAUUGAAUCCUACUUUAGUCAGUCCAUUUUCAUCCAAGUUCAGAGCUACCGGGAUUGAUCAGAACAGCCAUCCAUUCCAGAUUGUGUUUUUGCCAUAUCUAAAGGAAGGUAUUAAAUAUAUUAUGUAUUUGGGGUUUUCUCAAAGGUAGUUUACAGAGAGUAGAUAUGCUACCAAAAGGUUUAUAAAAACAAAAUAACCAUGACCAAAAAAAAAAAAAAAAAAAACCCCAACCUUCCACAGCACCUUUUCUCUAAUAUCCAUAAAAAUGUUGGGUAAUUCUUGGAGGAGGCAAAUUUUGCUGACGUUGAUCUACAAAGGAAGUAGUUCUUUACAAGGCCAGAAUAUGCAGUAAUACAUAACAGCUCUUCCCCACCGCCCCCCCCAUAAGGUCUGCUUACUUGGAUACUUGUUCAUCUGCCUGUACUAAGCAGCCUGCAACCCUGUCCUAUUAUUAUUACUGAUGCUAAUCAGUCUCUACUGAGCACAGGUCAGAACCAGGACAGAAUGCCAGCUCCAGUCUGUAAGGCAUCACAUUUUGUGAGCCAUUAAUGAGCGUUCAUGAAUUUAAAAAAAGCAGAAAAAAGAAAGGAGAACUCAGUUUGCAUUUGGAGAGUGAGAUAGUAAAUAGAGAAUAGAAAAGAAUUUACAUACAUAAGAAAUUAUAAAAUUCAUUCAAAACUUACAUGCUGAAAUUUUCCUUCCUUGUUCUUCCUGACUGGAUACAAUGUCAGGGAGUGAGUGAUGAACUAGGCUUUGGGGUGAGGCUGUUGUUUGCUCAGUGUUGGAACUGCACUUUCCUUUUUCUUUUACUACCUGUGUAAGUGCAGCCACAUAGCUACUUAGUGUGAGUGAAGAGGGGAUGGGGAGACUCCUCCAAUCAGUAAUGUCCUGAGAUUGUUGGUAUUGAUUUUUCCUCCUGAGUGACACAAGUUAAGUGGCUCUUGACAGGAAUUUUCUUCUUGAUGACAAUUGACUUCUGAUUGCCUGGACAUCUCACAGCCAUUGGCAGGAGAGACUGGCACCUGCAAGGAGAAGCUCAGAGUGUCUCCAGCUCCAUUGCAAGCUUUCCCCACUAGGAUGCUCUUACACUGCCUCCAUGAGGGGCCAGGUGGCAGCAAAGGAGAAAUGUUACAAAAGACGCAGGCCUGUUUGCUGUGGACCUUUGAUCCAAUCAGCUUGGCAACUCUGGAAAUUCCUGAUAUGUUAAUUGGCUUAUCAGCAUCAUUAUCAUCAUUAUCCUUAUUAUUAUACUUUGGGAUGGGCCUGUAUAAUCCCAAAGAUAUACAGAUGGAAAGUGAAAAUGUUUUUAAUCAUCUGAAGAGUUUGCUUGCAGGUCACUAAACAUGAGAAUGACUGAUGAAUCAUGCUUCAUUCUGCCCAUUUUCAUCCAAAUUUAGAGCUAUUACGUUUAAUAAAUAAACAUGAGAAUAACUGAUUCAAAUGUCUGAGUGUUAUGCAAAGUAGGUUUUAGAUACAGAUUUCUAGACUGGUGACUAACUGGGGAGAAGGAGCAGGGCUCUGAAGACUGAUUUCCUUGACACUUGGUUAGGAUAGAAAAGCAGAGAUUAAACCAUCGGGAACAUCGGAGACGCUCUUUGCUUUACUUUUUUGGACAAGACAAUGAAAAUAUUUACUUAUAAUGUGUACUUUACUUUCAAGGAAAACUUGAGGCAGCCCAAAUUGAAACAUGCAAAAUAGUAGAGUUAAAAUGUAGACAGAGAACUCAGAAAUUUAGGUGAAGAACAGAGGGAAUUUUACUAGAAUAGUUAAUGCAAUUGAACACCAAACUUGGUUCUGAUCAAAAGUCAACAAUAAUAGUAGCUAUAAAGAUAUUAAUAAUAGUUACAAUUACCUUGUAGCAAGUGUUUUUAUGCAUUAUUUCUAAUCUUUGCAACAACUUCACAAACAAUAACAAAAAAUCCAGAGGCUCAGAAAAGACAAAUAAUUUGACAAGAGCCACAGACACGGUAAGUGAUGGAGCCAAGAUUCAGAUUCAGAACUCCCUGAGUUCAAAGCCCAUAUGUGAUAAAACAUAUCUUUGCGGGACGUAUUCCUGGCCUCUACAGGGCAAGAUACUGAGAUAUAAAAUGCCUGACAGCCCUAGUAAAGGCCCAGUAUUGGAAAGAAUUAUGCAGUCCUACAGCCACUCAUCAGUGAGUUGCCUUGGAAUGUUGAUUGUGUGUUUGUCAGAGGAGGAUUUUUGGUAUGCAUACUGGUUCAAUUUCUGAAAAGCCCCUUAGGAAACGAGCUUCCAGGGUCCAUAUUUCUAUUGCAGAAACUGUUAGAGCCACCUAAAAUAUAGCCUUUUUUUUUUUUUUUUUUUGUUUAACCACUCCAUAAAGGAAGUCUCAGUUGCUCUGUACUAAGAUGGGAAGAAAGGCUCAUAGUUUGACUCUAGCACAAAGACCUGAGCAAAAGGAAGCUGACCCUGGCCACCUGAUGCCACCAUCCAGAUGGCAUGGCAGACUCAAGCUCCUCAUGCUAGAAACUAGGAUUAUGGUUAACUAGGAGUCUGGGACUCUUGGUGGCAUCUUUUUUUGUGAACAAAAAUAUACAUAAAUGGUAAGUAUAUUUGUAGCCAUAAGAGUCUCUACUCUGUAAUAACCAUGUUAAUGUUCUCAUAAAAAGAUAUGGGGCAAGAGCAAAGUGACAGAAAGGCUGAUUAGCAUUUUAUGACAGAAUUAAGCUGCAUGACAAAUAACUCACUGGUUUUAUGCCCUAGCAAAUUCUACUUUCAAAUGCUGCAGGUGCUGGGAUGUUUUUGUUCGUUUAUUUGUUUUUUAUAUUUAACCAUGAAGCCAUUCAGAGCAAUUUGUAGGAAAAUGGAAUACAAUAGUAAUAGUAAAUAUGAUUAGUGCUAAUAUUUAUUAAUAAUCUCUUUUAACAUUUCUGUAAAAAUUACUCUUUUUUUUUUGCUACUGGAUUUCCGAGCAUAUAUUGGUUUAGAAGUGGAGGAAAAUGUUCAGACCACUACUUGUCAAUCUUUUCAUGUGAUAGAUUUUCCAAAAUUCAACAAUUUUGGCAUUAGUUCUCCCUACCUUUGGGGAAACCACACUGAGGCCAUUAAUUCUGUGAGUGUUAAAGGGGAAGUGACUUCUACUUUGUCCAAAGUACCAGAUUCUAGAUUGAGAACUCCCUCUAUACUUGCAGUUUUGUUACAGAUAAAGAAUGGGGGCUGGGCAUGGCGGCUCACGCCUGUAAACCCAGCACUCUGGGAGGCCAAGGAAGGUGGAUCACAUGAGGUUGGGAAUUCGAGACCAGCCUGACCAACAUGGAGAAACCCCAUCUCUACUAAAAAUGCAAAAUUAGCCAGGCGUGGUGGCAUGCACCUGUAAUCCCAGCUACUCGGGAGGCUGAGGCAGGAGAAUCGCUUGAACCCGGGAGGCGGCGGAGGUUGCGGUGAGCCGAGAUCGCGCCAUUGCAUUCCCGCUUGGGCAACAAGAGUGAAACUCCAUCUAUUAAAAAAAAAAAAAGAGUGGGGAAAGGUGGAAAGAGGCAGAAGAGACACCUUGCUCAAUUCAACGAAGCAUUAGUUAUUGUUGCUUGGAAAUGAUUCAACAGCUGGUUUUCUCAUCUACAGAUGAGAAACGGCAGGUUUCCUUAAUUGCUGGUGCUGGUGGUAGAUGAUAAUAUUCGUUCUCAUUUACUUCAUUAAGAGUAUAAUAUUAAUAUAUCAAAAUUACCAACACAAAGUAAAAAGAUGAAAAAGAAAAAUAAAGAAAUGUGCUGGGCAGCUGGAGAUGCAAGAAGACAAUCUAGUCCCUGACCUCCAACAAUUCAAUCCAUUUGGAAAGCCAAGAUGAUUGAAUGAAACUAUUAAUGAGCAAUGCAGGGUGAUAUAAUAAAGUGCUUUAGGAUGUGGAUAAAAAUUAUGUAGUCACUGUGGUCUUGAUUGCAUCUGUAAUUUAGAUUGAUAACAUUUUAUACAUUCUAACUACUGACAAACAUUUGUUGGAUUGAGAGUCAAGAGAUGCUAGUCUGGUUGCCACUUUGUAUGACUUUGAAUAACCUAUUUAACGUAUAUGAAUAUAUGUGUAAUAGAUUAUAAUAUAUAAAUGUAUAUUUUAUUAAAAUAUAUAUAUAUUUCUGGAUAAGACAAAGAAGAUCAGAUGAUCUUCAAAGAUCCUUUCUGUUCUAAAAUUUUAUGAGUUAAUGAUUCUGGCUACUAUCACUAAGAUGAUUUCAGUUUUUUCCAUAAAGCCUGGGAGGUUCAGAGACUUGCAAAGUGCUUCUCCUCCAAAGUAACAGCGUCUAUCAAUCUUUUCUGAUAAGUGGGGUUCUGGGGCUCCAGUCCUAAGGGGUUUUAGAGCCUGGCCUGGAUAAGGGUGGGGGCUGGAAUGGCCCUUUGUUUCAGAGUGUACAGUGAAGGCACCAUCCCAGGGCAACAUUGGAAUGAAGAGUCUAGGAGUUUGGUCAGCCGUAGUAUCGAUUUGCAGGGACUAGACAGAGAUAAAAACUAAGUGAGGGGCAAACUCAGAGACAGCAAAACUGAGAUGAGGGUCAGAAACAGAAUCUGAAGAGAUGAUCUGAGCUUGAAAGUAUAAGCACAGGGUGAAGAGGAAGCUAUUAAUUUAAGGACAGAUGACAGAUUCUCCUUCACAGGCUCACUAUAUAGCAGCCGUCUUCACCCACUACUUCAUACGAACUUGGCUUUCUCCUGUAAGGGUAAGCCCAUGAAUUCCUUUAUGUUCUCUUGCCUUAUCUCUUCUGUGGGCAAAGGCAGGCCUUUGAAAUGGUAGUUGGCUAGGGCUGAGGAUAUGGCUUUGGUAUGAAAACUUCUCAACUGUCUACUGCAGGUCUCUUUUUUUACUCAAUUCACCCUCCAUUCUACUACUAGCAUAGUGAUUUUUCUACAGUAUAUUAUCUCUGACCUUGCCACUCCUCUGCAUGGGAACCUUGAUAGCUAUCUUUGUCAGAACUUAAAACUUUGAGAUCUUCUACAAUAUGGCUUCAGCUUGCUUUUUCCACUGUAUUGGUCACUUCUACCAUAAUUAUGCCUCUUGAUGUUUCUCAAAUAUACACUAUCUUUCCCCACUAUCGUGCCUUCAUUCAUGAUGAUUCUCUUUCCUGGAAUACCUUUUCCCUGUCAAAAUUCUACCUAAGCUCCAAUCCAAUCUCAGUUUACUAUUAGAAAUCUCUUCAGAACAUCUUCCAUCAGAUAUAAUCUUUCUGUCCUUUGAAUUUCCAUGGCCAAUUUCCUCCUCUUUUUUGAGUUUAUUAUUUCUACCUUAUAUUUUGCUUAUUUCUAUACUUAUCAUCCCUGUACUAUGAGGUCGUGGCCUCUUUUGGGGAGGAACCACGUGUCCCCAGCACCUCACAUAGUGUCUGAUACAUGAUGAGCAUUGAUGAGCAGACUUAGUUGUCUGCUGAGAUCCUGAUACAGGCUGGGGAAGUGGGUAGACAUUAAAAAAAAAAAAAGACAAAAAAAAUCAUGUAAAAUCAAGAAGUGUUUCUACUCUUUUUACUUGGCAUUAUACAUUAAUUUAUGCAACAUACAUCCCCUCUCCAUCCCGCUGCCAAACAUGCUAUUGUUGCCUAUGAAACAUAAAGCAGUAUAGGAUAAUGGAUUUUAUGAUUUUUUUUACAAUUAUGAAACAUAUGCAAACAAGUGCAAGCCUAUCUUGAAUUGUUAAUACUUUAAUUGGAAUAACUCAUUUAAACUGCCUAAGCAAUUGUAUUAAAAUCCAUGUGCCCAUUUCAAGCAAAUUUCUGGAAUGCAAGGGUUUCAAAUGAAUAAAAAUAUACCCUCCUUUCUUCUCUUUCUCCUCCAGGGAGAUACUCCAUUUUAUUUUUUCAGCAUAAAUAAACCAACUUGUUUAAGUUAACCUCAUAACUCUCAUUUUAAAGACAUCUUUUUUUUUUUUUUUCCUGAGAUGGAGUUUCAUGGGAGGCUGAGGCAGGAGAAUUGCUUGAACCCAGGAGGCAGAGGUUGUGGUGAGCCGAGAUCGUGCCACUGCACUCCAGCCUGGGCAACAAGAGCGAAACUCCAUCUGUAGAAACAAAGAAAAAAAAAAAGAAAGAGAUGGUUUCUUUUUACCUAGGCUGGAGUGCAGUGGUGCUAUCUUGGCUGACUGCAACCUCCGCCUCCCAGGUUUAAGUGAUUCUCCUGCCUCAGCCUCCUGAGUUGCUGGGAUUACAGGUGCGUGCCACCAUGCCUGGCUAAUUUUGUAUUUUUAGUAGAGACGGGGUUUCACCAUGUUGGCCAGGCUGGUCUCAAACUCCUGACCUCAGGUGAUCCACCUGCCUCGGCCUCCCAAAGUGCUGGGAUUACAGGUGAGCCACCAAGCCCAGCCUUAAAGACAUCUUUCCUUCAUCUUUGUGGCUUUUAUUUUUGGCCCCCAUGCUGUACUCCCAAGUGUCCCAGGCAGUGUGAUGUAACUAUGGAUAACUUCUUUAAUCAGACUGGCUUCAAAUCUUACUUCUGCAGGAUUACUAGCCCCGUGACCCUCCACUAGUUUGUUAAUCUCUCUCUGCUGUAUUUCCCUAUCUGUAAAAUGAGGAUGAUGAUAAUUGGGUUGUAGUUGAAUAAUGAAGUGAGUUAAUGUCUGCAAGGCACUUAGCACAGGGCCUGGUAUGUAAGCAUUGGCCAUGAGAACUCUUGUUGAUUGUUAAACUUGGAACUGAACUAGUCUUUUAAAGCUGUUUAAACUCAAGUGCCACGUGGCUAUUUUCUGGUUAAACUGAGAUCCAUGCUUAUCUCUAGACUGCCUUUUCCAGUUUUGCCUACACAGAGCCACCUCUCUAUCUUGUAUCUGUGCAAGGUUUUGUUUUGUAUUUUCAUUCCCUGAUGUACCACUAUCUCCUAGUUCACACAGAGACUUCAUUAGGCUCUGGCGGGUAGCUUCCUUUAUUGUCUUAGCUUGAGAAUAGUAAUGGCUAAUAUCCCAUGUUGUACUUUGUUAGAGGCUGAGAGGAAAAUUUCCACCAUAAAUGGCACUGUGCUGUUGGUUAGAGGCAUAUUGAAACCUUUUACCUUUCCCUAUUGCAUUCAGGGAGAAGAGGCAGGGCCUGGUGGAGGAGCAGUUUGAUUUGAAAGAGCAAAUUCUAACAACAGCAGAGAGACUGAGGGAAGAGCUGUUAGGCAGCCUUCCAAACAUACCAUACUGUUGAUUCUAACAGUAAAGGGGCUUUCUUCUUAAUCACUCACUUUAUAUUUCCGAGCCCUCUUGACAACGGCAGUGGAGAUGAAGGCUGCUAUUACAGAUGUGACUUGUGCAUUAGAGUUAGCCAACUUGUAAACUCUUGAGAUUAAAAGCAAAUUAGGAAAACAUGUAUGUGACUUGUGCUUCUUGGGAAGCUUUUUACUCCUGUCAAGAGAUAAAACUAGUAAAGUUAAUGCAUACUCUUUUCUUUGAUUCCAGUCAAGAGUGAAACCAAAGUAGAUUGGAGGCUCUUUGUACCUUUGACCCAGCACAGAGCUGAGCCCAUGCUGGGCACUGAAUAAAUGUUAGUUGACUCCGAGAUGCCUUCCCAUUAGCCAGUUGGAUCGUCCAAUGCAGAACAAUUUUCUUUCUUUUAUUUAUUAAUAGUUCCCAAGUUGUCACCAAUUCAGUGUGCAUUCUGGUACAGUUUAAUCAGUUUUUAAAAGAUAAAUGAUCAUUUGCUUUUUCCUGGACACAGUCCCUUUUCUUAUGUAAUCAAAACAGCGACAAAAAAGCAAUGGCCCUUUUUGUUAGAAUAUCAUGUUGAGAUUUCAUUUCUUAUUCAUAUUUAUCACCGACGUUCAUUCUUAUCUAUCACUCCCCAAUCCCUUUCAGCCUAUUUUUCAUUUCCAAUGAAUGUUUGUGUUUUGGAAUAAAUUUUCCUGAGAUGAGUAUAUCUUAGUUUGUAUACAGUUGGCAUUUUUUUCAAGUUCAAACUCUUCUUUUGUUUACACAUUUAAAGCCUUAGGACUUUGUUUUCCCUUCCUAAGUUUUCAUCAUGUGCAAUGUUUUCCCAUUCAGUCUCGUCAGCAUCACUGAUUAAUAAUUUCUUCCUAUUCCCAGAUCAUGUAACUCUGAGCACAAUCAUAGGCUCUGAGAAAGCACUUGGCAAAUACUUAUUAAUUUAUUGAGUCAUAAGUUGAAGGUGUUAUUAGAUUAUUUCCACAGUGAAAACAGUGCAAAUUUUCAGAUGCAAACUAUUAAGAAGGUGGUACUCUGAGAACGGUACCAUCUGCCUUUAUUCAUUAAAAUUCAUAGUAUUAUUCAUUCUGAUUCUUUUGCAGUGCCAUGAUGCCUGCUUCUGAUUUCUGGGAUUAGGAAGUGUGAAAAAUGAGUGAAACUUGGUGGAAAGAAAGAAGGUUUGACAUGAAUCAAGGUGCACUCACAAAGAGAUGAGGGGCCAGGACUAGGGUCAGUACUUCCAAUCUAAAGACUGUUCAAACUAACAAACUCCACUCAUUCAGAUUGGCCUCAACAGCUUGGCCUCAACAGCUUGGCAGAGUAGGAAAGGAAUGCUUUUUUUGUUUUUGUUUGUUUGUUGUUUUUUUGGAGACAAGGUCUCUCUCUGUUGCCCAGGCUGGGGAGCAGUGGCGCAAUCUCAGCUCACUGCAACCUCCGCCUCUCAGGUUCAAAUGAUUCUUGUGCCUCAGCCUCCUGAGUAGGUACGAUUACAGGCAUGUGCCACCACACCUGGCUAACUUUUGUAUUUUUAGUAGAGAUGGGAUUUUGCCAGGUUGCCCAGGCUGGUUUCGAACUCCUGACCUCAAAUGAUCCACCC
rnacentral:lncRNA from 1 species